rnacentral:lncRNA from 1 species
UAAGGAUAACGGGAGCUACAAGGUUUCCUGUGGUUGGAGUCAAAGUGCAAUUAGCAAUUGGGAGAGGAAUCCUUGCAAUACAUGUUCCUGACAGAAGACUUGUAUUGGUGGACACUGCAGCAUUAAUAAUGCCUUGACUAUUUGCGGACACUUGAGCAAUCGUUGUGUUGCCACAAAUAAUCGUUACAUUUGCUCCAUUCACUCCGACGCCUGGGGCAUUACUUCCUGGUACGGAGCAAGACAAACUCCCCAAUAUAGUUAAAUUAAUAUUCGUUGGUAUAAUCGGUGGUACUUGACCACCAACAGGUGGUACAAUCGGUGGUAUACUAAUGGGUGGUACAAUCGGUGGUAUAUUAAUGGGUGGUACAAUGGGUUGGCCAAGAAUAGGACCAACAAUUGGACUGAGAAUAGAACCAACAAUCGGUAAUUGGCCAAGACCAACAGGUGGCACUUGACCAACGGGUGGUACAAUACGUGGUGGUGCAGGUUGACCCAAUAGGGGAUGCAAUAGAGUACCCACAAAGGGAAUGGGACCCAAAAUGGGACGAACAAUGGGACCAAGGUUAAUAGGCAAUUGAGCAUGGGCUAGAGGACUGGUGGUGAUGAUGGAAAGUAGAAUAACAAGGGAAACAACACACAUUUUUGAAGACAUGAUGAUUUGAUAAUUUUUAUUCUGUUCAAUAUACCCUUUAUAUAGUGCUCCUUUUUAUUUACUCCACCCCUACCUUAACUUACCCCACCCCCCAACCUAUAUAAAUGAUUAAAUAUAUUAUCUUUCAUCCCUAAAUAAGACUUACAAAUAUCUCACAUAUAUCAUCAUUAGUUAGGUUGAAACUCAUCAACUUGAACAACAUUGGGACCAUACAAAUUAAUUAAUUCAAUAUCAUUUGACUUGUCAUAAGAAGAAAUUUUUUUUGUAAGCUGAGGCCAAAAGGCCUUUGGUUUGCCCAUAGGACUCCCUUUUUCUUUUCUUCUACCAUUAUUUUUAAAGUAAUUAAAAGUUGAAGAUUUAAAACAAAUACCAUAAAUUUAUAUUUUUUUAAUUAUUAAAGUAAUUUACACAAUUUAUUUAUUUUUAUUUAUUUUAAAUAUAACCUUUUAAAAUUGGUGUUAAAUCUUUAUAUUUUGGUAAAAAAUUAGGUGUUCACAGUGUGAUUGUUAAUCACUUCAUUAAAAAUUAAAAAAGUUUAAGUAGAAUUUAGAUAAAAAAAAAAUAAGUAAUGUCUACUAAUUAUCUUGAAAUCUAAUGGGUUUAUCACAUUGUUCGAAAUGUAUUAAAAUAUCUAACAUAUAAUUUUAAAAUUGAAGAGAGUUAAAAUUAUAGUAGAAUAAAAGAGAGAUGAAAUUGUGGUAAAAACUGACAUUGAAAGUGAUAAGUUAAUGAAGAUGACAAUGAAUUUUUGAAGAAGAAGGAAGAAAGAAAAAGAAAAAAAUAAUAAGGAGAAAAAGUUAAAAUAAUACGAAAAAUUAAAAAAUAUAUAUAUUUUAUAGUAAAAUUCUUGUAAAAAUAAAAUUAUAUUCGUUUUUUUAGUUUGUUCACGCUCUUUAAGAGAGCGCAUACACUUUCCGUGUCAGGUAAACAAAAAAUGAUGUAAUAAUAUCAAUUCAAAAAUAUUUAGGGAGGGUAAUAGGAUACUUGCUUAGUUUAGAUAUUUUUAUAAAAAUUCGAGACAACUUCAAGUAACAUUUUAUGUCUUUUCUCUAUAUGCUAAAAACCUUUUAAGUAGUAGUGUAUGGAUCACCAAUAUACCACUGACUUUAUAUAUAUAAUAUAAUAUGAAGUAUUUUGUAGAAGAGCCAUGAGUUUCACAAAUAUGUCCAGAAGUAGCAUAACAAAAAUAAGUAGAAUUAGUUAGAUUCGAAUGCACGAUUACUUCUUCAUUUCAAGAAGGUGAAAUCAUUAGGUUAUAAUUAUAAUUUUUUUAAUGUUAAGGAUGUUCAAAAUAUGCUAUUUAAUCAUUUCGUAUGUAUUUUACUUGUUUAUAUGAUAGUUAUUUCUGACGAAAAUCGGACACCCUUAUCACCACGUGACUACGCCACCGGAUGUAUCAAGCUUUAAACACACAGAAAAAUGAGAACUAUAUUUUCUGGUUUUCUGGUAAGAAAAAAAAUAUAUUUAUGUUAAUAUAAUGGCACGAUAGAUGGGCAAGCAGGAGGUCAAUGUAUAUGUUUAAUUUACAUGAUACAGAUGAAUUAGGAGAGCAAUUAAAAUUUAUAUGAUUUAAAAAUAUUAUAAGUUGUUUAUUAUUGUGAAUUAUAGUAUUUUUAAUUUAUGUGACACAUAUAAAAUUUUAAGAGUCAACAAAUUCUUUAAUAAGUUUUAAAAUAUAUUUCAAAUGGUUAAUUAUUAUAAUUUUUAAUAUUUUUUACGCCCUAAACCUACAUCCUAAAUGUAUCGGUACUCAAAAAUCAUCUUUGAUCCCAAAUGAACCUUUAAUCAUAAGCGAAAGACUUACUCUAACAACAGAAAUCUCAAAACAAGAUCAACUCAUAAGAAUAAGUGCUCAACUCUCAAUCUUCAAAACAUCAAGGACUGAGAAAAAGAAGUAAAAUAUUUUUUGGAAGAAUGAAAGGGUGGUUUAUGGGGAGGGGGUUGGAUAAUAAUUUAAUUUUUAUUUAUACGGUGAAUAUUUUAUCUAUGUGAAAUGUCAAAGUGUUAAGAUUUUUCAAAAUAAAAAAUAGAGUACAUUAUACACACCACCAAGGUGUUUUCUCAAACUAAUAAAUACUAGUUUAGCUACAAAACUAAAUAAAAAGAUAGUUUAAAUGUGUUUUUAAUGGGGGUGUGCAAAAAUCGAACCGACCGAUAAAUUGAACCAAAAAUAUGUUAUUGGGUUAUUGAGGUUUUAAUGGGUUUAUAAAAAAAAAUUAAUGGGUUAUUGGUUCGUUAUCAGUUUUUACUAUUGGGUUAUUGGGUAAAUUAAUAACCCAAUAAGACGGUAAUAAUUCACUAUUUUACUCUUCCUAAUUAUUAAAUAUUAAUAAUUUAAUAUAACUAAACACUAUAACUAUAUCAAAUUAUUAGUACUCUCUCCCCUUCACACUAGGCCGCUUUACUAGUUUUUAUUGUUUACUAAAAACCUAAAGACUAUAGUAAGGGUUCACUAUUGUAGCUAUUUGAUUUUAAUUUUAGUUUAGUAUUAUUGGACUAUUUGAUAUUAAUUUUAGUUUGUAAUUGUAGGUUGUAGCAUUUGCAAGUUUGUGAAGGUCCGUAAUUUGAUUAACAUAAAAAAUCUCGUACUAUAUUUUGGCGGUGACAUGUAAUUAUAGCCUUUGUACUAUAUUUAGAAAAGUGAGAAGUCAUAUAAUAUUUUACGAACAUUUUUGUUACUGGGUAAAUCGAAAAUCAAACGUAUAACUACCAAAAAACGAUAAAGAAUAUCUUAUUGAUUGGUUAUCGGGUUAGUGUUGACACCCAAUUUUGGACCUCCACCAUAUAAAUAAUCAAUUCGAGCUUCUUCGAUUUUAGACGAUUUAAAAUAAUUAGUUUAUAAAAUUGUAAGAAAAUUUCAAAGUUUGCACCUUAUUUUAAAUAGUUUUGUCGCUUUAUAUAUAUAUAUAUAUAUAUAUAUAUAUAUAUAUAUAUAUAUAUAUAUAUAUAUAUAUAUAUAUAUAUUACACAACUAUGUAUACAAUUAAUAUAUUUUUAUGAUUACUCAAAAAUCAUCUCAAAAAGAUUUUACUUUGUUUAAAUAUUUUACUAAUUAGUUUAGUUAUAUAAUAGUUUACAUUCUUGAAUUAGUUAUUCUAUAAUUAAGUCGAUUAAUUUAUUUAAUUAAAAUUAAGAAGCUCGUUAAUUAAUUAUACUAAUUCAUCGAGUUUAAUGUCAAUCAUUUCACCAUUCAAUUUCUAAUUGGUUUAAGUAUACAAUAUUUGGUUGCCAAAAGACCAAAUUUGGGCCUCCAUUUUGAAUUGAGCAACUUUCACAUAUAGCAAAUAAAAAAUUCAUAUUUGUAUGCUAUAGCAAAGUUUGCAUAAUUGCGUUCCAUAGCAAACAUAGAAACUGUAUAAUUCGCUAUAUAUAUACAGUUGAAGCAAAUUGUAUAAAUUGAAGUGUAUAAAACAAGAAAGAGAAAGACACUUGGAUAGAGAACUGUAUAAAAAUGAAGUGUAUAAAACGAAUUGUAUUAUUAUAAGUGUAUAGAACCAUUUUAUAAAAUUUGAAUUUGUAUAAAAUGAGAAAGAGAGAAAGACAAAAGAGACUUGACAAGGAAUAUACAAUUGAAUCGAAUUGUAUAAACGAGAAAGAGAGAAAGGCAAAAGAAACUGUGCAGGGUAGUAUUUUUAUUGUAUAAUUACAAGUGUAUAGGAUGAAAAUAUAUGUAUUUGCAUGUGUAUAUACAAUUUUCUCACGCUUUAUACAAACAGAAACACAAUUUAUGCAUUUUGCUUCUCUUUGUAUAAGUGAUAAAGGCGAGGGUGGCGAGCGAGAUCUGGAAGAGGGAAGAGAGGGGAACAAAAAUAUAUGUAUUUAUGCAAUUUUCUCUACUUUAUACAAUUAGAAACAAUUUUUAUACACUUGUGUUUGUAUAAAAAAUGAGGAAGCGAGUGAGAUACCGGAGGAGAGUGGCGAGCUUGAUAUUUGGGAGAGAGGCGCCGGGAAUUUUUUUACAAACGUUUGGUAUGGAGCACAAUUAAAUCAAACUCUAGCUACUAUAUUUAUUUUAGGUUAUUAGUUUGCUAUUAUAUACAAUUUUCCCUUUUAAAGAGCAUUUCAGCCCAAUCUUAAAUUACAUCAACCAAACCAGCCACUCCAACUUCCUUUUUAAAUAGUAUAAAUUUAAGGAAUUCCAUAGUGUAAUACAAUUAUUACAUUCUGUCCCGACAAAUUUAGUAUUUACUAAUAAUCCCUUAAAAUUGUUGUGGCGUGAUACAUUAGUAUGUUGUGAUAUAUGGUAAAUAAUAUAUAGUAAUUUAAAAUUGUUAAGAUUAAAAGGGGGUAAAAUGGAACAUUUAAAUUUGUUAUCUAAAUCAGCUUAAAUUACGGUAACAGUUCAUUAAUAAGCAUUAAUUCAACACGUAAUUGGAUAACAAUUUCAAAUUUUGAAAAUUCAAGAUUAUAUCAUCUAGUUUGAAGACAUUUUUAUGAACAUCCAGUUAUUAAACUUAUUGACUGAUACAUGAUAACAAUUUUCAAAAACUUUUGAUACAUAGGAAAUCAUAUGAUACACAUCAAAUUCAUGUAUCAAUGCAUCGUCUAAACACUAUAACACACUGAGUCGAUAUGUAUCAGCAAGCACACUUGAUGGCGCAGUUAUUAAGCUUAUUGACUGAUACAUGAUAACAAUUUUCAAAAACUCUUGAUACAUAGGAAAUCAUAUGAUACACAUCUAAUUCAUGUAUCAAUGCAUCGACUAACACACUAUAACACACCGAGUACUUAUGUAUUAAACUUAUUGUCUGAUAUAUGAUAACAAUUUUCAAAAAUUCAUGAUACAUAUGAGAUUCCUUUACUAAAAUUUUUACUAAUUUCAACAACAAUGGUUGCUGCUUCUUUUCUCUUUUUUGGGUGUAUUUUGUCAACCUUUGCUUUAGAUGAUUCGCCAAAAUCUUUGUUUGAAUCCUUCCGAACAUUCAUAGGAUCAUGCAAAGAUUUUUUUUUAUUUUCUUUCCAAUUUUCAUCGUCCGAAUCAUAAAUCCUUCUAUUAGUAAAAGGAUUCAUUAAUAUGAUGUAAUAGAACAAUGAACAGAAAUAAAAUAAAAAAAAGAACGGAUGAUGGAGUAAGAAGAAAAAGAAGACCUAGAGACGGCUGAUGUAAUAUAGAAAUGAACAAGAACAAAAAAAAGAACAGAUGAUGGAUUAAGAAGAAGAAAACUAUAGACGGAUGAUGGAGUAAGAAGAAGAAGAAGAACCAUAGAACAAUGGUCCAAUUUUCAGAAAUUUCAAAUUUUUUGAAUUUUGAAAUUCAAAAUUUCAUAUUAAAUGUUGUGAAAUGUUUUUAAUUAAAAUUAAUAAUUCAAAAUUCAGAAAGUGAUUCAUGAAUGUUUUAGUGGAGAAAAAAUAGGCAUGAUAUUGGGGAAGUGUGUGUUAUAGGAGAGAGAAGGCUAUGUAUCUCUAAACUUCUACUAAAAAAAGAAAAUUAUGUAAUAUUUAUAAAAAGAAGGGAAAAUUAGAGAAUACUAAACUUAUAGUUGUGUAUUUAAGUUAUUUUUCCUUUUAAAUAUACCGGCCCAACUUUAUUAUUCCCAAAUGGAAAAAUUACAUAAAUUAAUAUAUUUUAAAAAAUAAUUACUGAUUUUAGUGAUACUUUUUGUUUAUUACCAUUUAUAGCAAUGCUUUGUUAAAUCUAUAAUAUGUAUUAAAAGUGAAUUAUGUAUGCAAUAUAUAUGAAUUAUAAUUGUUUUUUGAAAUAAAUCAUGUUUGUUUGAUAAAAAAUUAUCACAUUGUAUUUUAAGUGUAUUAAAGUGUGUGAUAAAUUUAUUAUUCAUCAUUAAAAUUUGUAUUAUAUGUGAAUAAUAAAUUGUUCUUUGUAAUAUGUAUUAAACUUGUAUUAUAAAUGAAUUAAAAGUGAUCAAGUGAGGUAAAAAUAUUAUUGCUAUAAAUGAUAAAUAUUUUUUAUUAUAGUAUAUUUAUAUAAGUUUCCCUUCCCAGAUUUACCCCAACCCGGCCCAAUUCUAUCUUUAACAAGAGAACCCAGUAGUGUUCCAAACCGUAAGCCGACAAAAGUUCCAAGCACCAAAGUUUACGGACGGAAAACCAUUACACAACGCCUUCACGCCUAACUUCAAUGGUAAAAGCAGCGCGUGGAGGGCACCAAGAACAAAUAGUUAUUUAGUUUGUGGUUCGAUAUUGUAAUACUUCUGUUCAACUGAUUUGAGAUUUAUUUCUUGAUGGUCGCAAGUCAUUAGAAUUUUGAAAUGUUUUUGAUUUGGUGUCGGCUGGAAAUCAGUGGUGCAACUUGAAAUAUUGUUGUCUCAUUUGUAUGAAGUUUUAGGUCUUCCUGCCUAUAUUGCUGAUGCUCCUGAUUUUGACAUAUUGAAAUCGCUAUAUUUGUGUUUUGUAGUGUUGUUGUUGUUGUUGUUGUUUCAUUAAGUCGCCAGAGAUAUCACACCCUUUUUCUGCGCGUGGCGUAAGACGGUAAGGGUUUUUCCAAUUUAAGUGACGUUAUUGAUUAGGGAAUUAUUUUAUUUUUCAGCGUCGCCACUUGGAUUUAAGUUAUGGCAAGUCAACUUUUCUUUUAAUCCCUAACCAAAAGGAAAUAACUCUUUAUUUUGGUCCGUGGACCAGAAAUUUAGGUAAGGAAUCCUGUUGAAUGAGGAGAAGGUAUUAGGCAUCCUUCGAGUCCCGUGGUUCUAGCACGAUCACUUUUAUUGACUUAUAUUUAUUUUAAAAUAUUUUUGGAUAUAUUAUUUUUAGGUAUUGACUUGUUUGCAUUUUUAUUCUUGAACUUUUAUUUAGUCUCAAAUCAGAUGCAUAACUGCAUUCUCGACUUUGACAUUUGGAGACAUAAUUGUCUUCAUCUCUCAAGUUCCUCCCACCUAAUAAUUGUCUAUAAGUGUCACUCUAAAUAUUUAUAUUUAUAAACAAGGUGCGUCACCGCAUCCUUGAAUUUUUAAUGUCUCAAAAAGAUGCGUAACCACAUUCUUGAUUGAAAUAAAUAUUUAUUAAUAUGUCGAAAAAUAAUUUAUUUUAUUUUAUUUAUUUAUUUAUUUAUUUAUUGGUCUAGAUAUACCUACUUUAUCAUUAUUAUUUAAAUCAAGAAAAGCUGUAGCUAUAGUGAAAUCAACGUAGUACAAAAUUGAAAAUUGGAUUUCAUUAAGUAAAAAGAUAGAAGGGUUUAACAACAACACAAACUAAUUAAAUUUUAGCUUACAACCUUGAAAUAAUAAUAAUAAUAAUAAUAAUAAUAAUAAUAAUAAAACAAUACUACGACAAGAAUCAUCAACCACAUACAUAAUAAGAGAGAAUAGACAAACAAAAAUUUCAAUACAACCCUGAAAUAACUAUAGAUAAUAGAAAUUUGGAUAUUCAUUAAACUAUAUAUAGUGAAUAUCCUGAUACUAUAUUGCCUAAUUCUCGUUUCUAGGUACAUCAUCUAUAACAAACACGCCUAUUGAAACCCUUCAUGGAGGCGUAUAUUGGUGCUCAAUCCUUUUAUAACGAGGCGUAUAUAAGUGCUCAAUCCUUUGGUUUUGUGAUCCGCCAUGAGAUAUAGAGCAAGUCUUUUUCUAUUAAACUUAUUUCUUUUAUUGUAUUUUUUUGGGGGCCGGGGGGUGGGGGGGGGGGGAGGUGGACUUGAUAUACUCCUUAACUUUGUGAUUUAGAGUUGAUAUAUCCUCGUUAAAAAAGUGGGUUACAUGUACUCAUAUUAUUAUAUAAAUAAUGUCUUCAAAUAUACCAUUUUGUUCUAACGGGAGUGAAAACAAAUAGUUUUUUAAAUGCAUUUUUUUAUUUAUUUUUAAGAAGUAAAAUUUGAAUAUAUAAUCUUAGAACUUUUCUAGAAAAUAUACUCGUAUAUUGAUAUUUUAGUGUGUUUUUAAAAAAAAAAUUAAAACAAUAUUUCACUUCCAUUAGAUGAAAAGGUUAUAUGUGAACCACUUUUAUAAUGGUAAGACUAUAUAUGAACCACUUUGAAUUUAAAUGUGCAUUAUUUUAUAAUGAGCGACAUAUAAAUUCUAAUAAAUUAUAAAGUAGAAGAGUAUAUCAAGACCUUUUAUGGACUUUGGUAUUUAGAGAUUUUGUUAAUUAAAGUAGAGGAGUCGUAUAUAUAGGUGAAUAUUGAUAUGCUGCAACAUGUGUUAUUUAUUUUAAUGUGUGUAUUAUUGAGUAGUUAAACGUGUUGGGAGCCGUGCGUGCAUAUAUGCAUUUCAUGACAUAUAUAAUAAUAAUAGAGUGAAAAGAAGAAGAAGGCAGAAAUGAAUUGAAAAUAAAGGAAGUAGUUAAAAUAUUAUCCAAUCUCACCAUUUAUUUAUUAUAAAAUAUUAGAUACGAUACAUAAUUAAUUAAGAGAUGGAUGAGGUUAUAUAUAUAUAUAUACACACUCACUUCAUUUAUUUAGGUGUGUGUGAGUAUAUCAAGACUUUUUACGGACUUACAUAUUUAGAUAUUUUAGAGAUUCUGUUAAUUAAAGUAGAAGAGUAGGUGAAUAUUGGUAUGUUGAAAACAUGUGUUAUUUAUACUCAUGAAUAGAAUAAUUAAGUAGUAUAUAAUUGUUGUUGUUCAUCUUGUAUUCCAAACAUACUUAGAACAAAACUUUGAACAUCUUUGUAAGAAAACAAAGUUUAAGAACAUUUUCACAACUAGAAAAUUAAAACUAGUAGCGAAACUAGAAUCAGAAACAGAUUUUUUUAAAAAAAUAUACGAAAUAUUUUUCUUAAAGAGGAAUUGUUGUUAAUAUGUGUCUAAAUAAUCUUACUGAUUCCAACAAACUUUGCAGAAACACGAAGUUACCAAGUUUAAUGAACCAGUGAAGAACAGAAGAAUAGAAGAACUGAAAUUAAUUGACAAAUCUAAAAUUUGUAAAAGACGUACCAGAAUCUGAAAAUUUUUAAUAGGAAAAAGAUCAAGUCCACUGAAUUCACAGUGUCCCCUUAAGGAAAUUAUUAGUUAAACGUGUUGGGAGCCGUGCAUGCAUAUAUAUAUACAUUUCAUGACAUAUAUAAUAAUAAUAAUAAUAUUAUUAUUCAAUCUCACCAUUUAUUUAAUAUAAUAUUACAUGAUAAUUAAGAGGGCACUUCAUUUAUUUAGGUGUGUGUGAGUGAUGAUGGAGUAGUCCUAGGUAAUAGUGACGGUUGCUAGAGAUGUAAGUAUCCCAAAAAUUGCUGCCAAAGUUUGACCAACCACAUUCUCAAGUAAGUUUCCAAUAAGGAUAACAGGAGCUACAAGGGUUCCUGUGGUUGGAGUCAAAGUGCAAUUAGCAAUUGGGAGAGGAAUCCUUGCAAUACAUGUUCCUGACAAAAGACUUGUAUUGGUGGACACUGCAGCAUUAAUAAUGCCUUGACUAUUUGUGGACACUUGAGCAAUCGUUGUGUUGCCACAAAUAAUCGUUACAUUUGCUCCACUCACUCCGACGCCUGGGGCAUUACUUCCCGGUACGGAGCAAGACAAACUCCCCAAUAUACUUAAAUUAACAACACGAUCAACAACAGGUGGUACAAUCGGUGGUACUUGACCACCAACAGGUGGUACAAUCGGUGGUACUUGACCAACAACAGGUGGUACAAUCGGUUGGCCAAGAAUAGGACUAAGAAUGGGACCGACAAUUGGACUGAGAAUAGAACCAACAAUCGGUAAUUGGCCAAGACCAACAGGUGGUACUUGACCAACGGGUGGUACAAUACGUGGUGCAGGUUGCCCCAAAAUGGGACCCAAAAUGGGACGAACAAUGAGACCCAAACCUUGAGCAUGAGCUAGAGGACUGAUGGUGAUGAUGGAAAGUAGAACAACAAGGGAAACAACACACAUUUUUGAAGACAUGAUGAUUUGAUAAUAUUUUUUUCUGUUCAAUAUCCCCUUUUUAUAGUGCUCCUUUUUAUUUACUCCACCCCUACCUUAACUUACCCAACCCCCUAAUUUAUAUAAAUGAUUAAAUAUAUUAUCUUUCAUCCCUAAAUAGCAUUAUUAAAGACUUACAAUAUCUCCCUAUAUCAUCAUUAGUUAGGCUGAAACUCAUCAACUUGAACAACAUUGGGACCAUACAAAUUAAUUAAUUCAAUAUCAUUUUGACUUGUCAUAAGAAGAAAUUUUUUUGUAAGCUGAGGCCAAAAGUAGGGUGGGCAUUCGGUAUUUCGAUUCGGUUUCAGUUUUUUUUCCGAUUUUUUGAUUAUUGUAAAUUGUGUACCGAAUACCGAAUCAAAAUAUUUUGGUUCAGUUUGGUUUUUGUUAAUUCGAUUCGGUUUUUUAUUUCGGUUUUUUAUGUUGAUGGCGCGGCUGCUAGCUGCUGACUGGUUGAAUGUUGAUGGUGCCUGGCAGACGGCGUGGCGGCGCUGCUGCUAGUUGCUUGACAGCGCGGCGGCGCUGCUGCUGUCUGCUUGACGGUGCGGCGGCGCUACUGCUUCUUUUGGCGGCCGGCCGGCGCAGCUGCUACUUCUCGCGGCUGCUGCUGCUUCUUCUGGCGGAUGGCCGGCGCUGCUGCUUCUUCUGGCGGACGGCCGGCGCUUAUGCUGAAUCUGGCUGGAGGAGAAGAAGAAGAAGAAGAGGAAGAAGAGGAGAGGAAGAGGAAAGACCAAGAGGAAAACAAAUCAGUAGAAAGAUGAAAGAGAGAGGAAUAGGGCCCGUAGGGUUUCUUUUUAAAAAAAUUAUUUAAUAUUAAUAAUUAUUAAUUAAUAUAAUAUAAAUUAUAGUAUAUUAUUUCGGUUUAAAUCGAAAUAUCAAAAACUAAAAUAAUACAUACCGAAAAUCGAACCGAAAUACCAAAAAAUAUAAAAAAGUAAAUCGAAAACCGAACUGAAAACCGAAAUAUCGAAACCGAAAUUUUGAAAAAUUUCAAUUUCGUUUGGUGUUUCGGUUUUCCGAUGUUUGCUCACACCUAGCCAAAAGGCCUUUAAUUUGCUCAUAGGAACUAUUUUGAUGGAAUAAAUAACUCCACUUGGUUUGGGUGUCAAAAAAAACAACAAUAAAAAUAACAACAACCAUCGAAGAUUUUUGAAAAUAGUUGUGUGAUUGUUAAUCACUUCAUUUAAAAAAAAAUUAAUGUUAUAUCAUGUUUUUAAUUAUAAUAAACUACACUAUAUAAUAAUAAUAAUAAUAAUAAUAAUAAUAAUAAUAAUAAUAAUAAUCAAGGGCAAAAAGCUAAUCUACUUGGUCAACAUAAAAUGACUUUUAAGUUGAAAAAAAAACACCCCUCACCUAUCUUUUAGAUUUUGGCAUAAAAUAAGUCAUUUUGGACUUAAAAUAAGUCACUUUGAUAAUUGUCAAACACUCAAAUAAAUCAAAAACUGAAUUUUAAAUCAGUUUGACCAGCUUUUAAGCCCAUUCCAAUAGGCUCUAAGUGUGUAAAUAACUUUUCGAUACAAGUUCAAGGUGAAAUUUAUGUCUUUUCCCUUUGAAAUACCUAUCACAAUACUUUAUUUCUCACGCCAUGUAUUCAUGAUAUAAUAAAAAUAUAUAUAUUAAAUAUUGAAUAAGAAAUUUAUGGGUGCCUCGACUAUGUUAAAAAAAGACAUAUGUCUUAGGUCCCCCAAAUUUAAGGGGCCUCAUUUUUAAUAAUAAUAGGUUAUAAGUUAUUAUUUUUUUAACAAAUAUUGAAUACUAUUUAUAGAAAAAGUAAAAUUUUUCAUGAAAAAUAAAGGAAUUAUAGAAGAAAUUUGACAUGUUUGAAGUAAUAUAUCUCAAGAAAAAUAAUUUAAAAUAAGAAUGAUUAUAUUAUCAAUUGAAAACUAGAAGAAAUCAAUUAUAUGAAGUUAUUGACGAUUCAAGUCUAAUGAUCUAUUUAAUUUUUGAUUUAAGCCACUAAUAUACUUAAGUCACUUCUAAAGAAAUUUUGAUAUUUUUUCAAAGAAAGAUGUAACAUAAAAGUUAUAAUAAAAUAUGUCUUUUACUUUAUCAGAAAAUAUCAAGAGAACGUGGGAUGAAUGCAUGAGUUAAUUUGACAAAGUUUUAUCAUUCAUUACAAUAUUAUUAAAAUUAAUAAUCUAUCUUAUUUAAUGGCUCAAUAAGUGAAUGAAAAGACAUGUUAAAACUAAUGUAAUUAAGUAUUUUACUUUUACAAAUUAUGACUUAUUAAAACUAAUGUAAUUAAGUAUUUUACUUUUACAAAUUAUCAAAAAUUUCAAAGGACUAAAUCGUUAUGUCAGAAGUGAUUUUAUUUUCACGGUGUUAAGUGAAAUCGCUAAAUCACUGACCUACCAGCGAUUUUGUUCAUAUUUUUUUCCUAUUUUUUUUAAAGGCAACGAUUUUAGUGGAUUUUUUUCCUUACAUCUCGUAAUUUGAAAUAACUAAGAAAUCAAGAAUAAACAAAAUCGCUUCUGAUAUAGCGAUUUAGUGCUUUUAGUUUUAAAAAACUUAAUGUACCCUUUUGAAAUUUUUAAUGUUUUUUUUAACUCAAAGAAAAUUUUUGUAUGGGUAGUGUUUUUGGAUUUUUUUUUAGAAAAAUAAAAUUGCUUUACUGUCGCAUUUUUAUUUUAAUUGUUUUUAAUAUCGCUGCCUAAAAAGCGAUUUAAGUGGGAAAUUAUUAUACUUUUUGGCAAAUGGUAGCGAUUUGUGUGGAAUAUUUUUUAUUUCUUUCUUUUUAAAAAUCUUGGCAACUCUUUAGUUAAAUAACUUUUAUUAAGAUAUUGCUGGCAAUUAUUUUUUAAAAAUUCGUUUUAAAUGUUGGUAAUCAAUUUUAAAAAAUAAUUAUACAAUUUUUUUAAAAAAAAAAUUGGCACUGAUAUUUUUUUUUAAAAAAGAACUUCCACCAAGCAGCGAUUUUUUAUAUAAAAAUCACGAAAAUAGCUGUCAAGAAUUUUUUUUCCAUUAAAACGCUGUUUUUUUUAAUAUAUAAAUGUUGCAUUGCAGUGAUUUAAAAAAAGAGAAAAUUGUAUAUAAUAUAGUAAACUAAUAAUAUAAAAUAAAAUGAAGCAGCUAGGAUUUGAUUUAAUUGUGCUCCAUAGCAAAUGUUUGCAAAAAAUUGCCAGACACCUCUCUCCCAAAUAUCUCGCUCGCCACUCUCCUCCAAUCUCUCGCUCUCUUCCUCACUUUUUAUACAAACACAAGUGUAUAAAAAUUGUUUCUAAUUGUAUAAAGCAGAAAAAAUUGUAUAAAUACAUAUAUUUUUGUUUCCUUCUCUCCUCUCUUCUAGAUCUCGCUCGCCACUCUCCCAAAUCUCGCUCGCCACCCUCGCCUUUCUCACUUAUAUAAACAGAAACGAAAUGUAUAAAUUGCGUUUCUGUUUGGAUAAAGCGUGAGAAAAUUGUAUAUACACAUGCAAGUACAUAUAUUUUCGUCCUAUACACCCAGUUUCUUUUGCCUUUCUCUCUUUCUCAUUUUAUACAAUUUUCAAAUUGUAUCUAAUUUCUUUCUUCCUCGUUUUAAGUAAAGUUAUCAUUACAUAAAUCAAAUGGAGUGAGCUCAAACUUUAGUUAAUUUUUUUUAAAAAAAAUAUUUUGUUGUUUAACAAUUUUUAAAAUGAAAAUGCUAAACCUUUUUCACAAUUAUGUUUUAUAGUUUUUUUAUCAAUAUCUAGUCGAUGAUAACCAUAAUUUUAAUAUAAAUAAUAUAAUAAGGUAACUUAAUUCUGAAAUUCAAGUAUUGAUAUUUUUGAGAAAAUAUUUAUUUAGAAAUUGUAAAACAUUCAUAAUCUAAUAUUUAAUAUGUUUCUUACUCUCAACGAAUGACACUAAUUCAUCAUGAUUCAAAAUUGUAAGAAGUAAAAAUCAAUACUAAAAAGUGCAACUCAUUAUUAUAUGAAGUUUAAUAUGUAGUUUAUCUAUUGUCGAAAGUUUUCCAAGUAUAUGAUAUAUAAUUCUAUGAUAAAUUAAUUUUUGAUCCCAUAUAUUUAUACUAUUUUCAAAUUUAUACCGUUAAUUGAUUAUAUAUUUUCUUAAACUACAAUUACGCGAUCAUUAUUUAUCAAUUCUACUUUAUCAACUUUAUAUUCUUCUUUUUUAUAUCUUUAGAAUUGUGCUAUUUUUGUUUUCUUAUUUAAGUUACAAUUUUAAAGAUAAAAUAAAUAUUUUUUGGAGAUAAAAUAAGUUAAAUAAAAAACUAUAUGAAUACUUAUGUUGAAAAAAAUUAUAUAUAAUUAAAAAAUUGUCCUAUUUUUAUUUUCUUAUUUAAGUCACAAUUUUUAAAGAUAAGAUAAAUAUUAUUUUGAGAUAAAAUAAGUUAAAUAAACUAUAUGAAUACUUUUGUUUAGAAAACAUUAUAUAUAAUUAAAAAAAUUACAUAUAUGAAAGAUUAUAAAAUUAUACUGGUUAUGUUGUAGUAGUAAUAAACAUAGAUGAACAAUUUGAAUUGUCAAGAGUAUAAAAAUAAAAAUAUUUUUCACAUUAUUAUUAUAUCAAACAAAUACAAAUUGAUUUUCAAAAAGAAUAAUAAAAUGUAUUUGUGGGUCACACAUGAAACAAAAAUUAUGUGAUUCUUGAAAAAAAAUAAUAGAUUCUUCUAGAAAACUAUUUUGACAAUUAAUUAUACAAUUAUAAAUUUAAAACUUUGCCCAUAAAAAUAAUUAAAAUUACAAAAUUGUCAUUGAUUGGCCUCAUCAUGACUCUUAUGUAUAAUAGAAACUAGACAAUUGAAGGCCCGUUCAUGGGCUCAAUAUAAUUAAUUAUUUUUUUCAAUUUUAAGUUAAAAAAAUUAUCCAAAUUAAUAUCUUAUUUUAUCAUAGUUUCUAAAAUUUUCUACUAUUUAAACAAUUACAAAAAUGUCCUCUCAGAUACAUUCUUAUCCUCUGUCGGACACAUCAGUAUCUCCUCUCGAAUACAUUCCUAUCAUUUCUUGAAUACAUCUUUAUCUCAUCCUGAAACAUCCAUAUCCUCUCUUGGAUACAUCUCUCCCCUUUCGGAUACAUUCAUUCUCUCUCGAAUACAUCCCUACCUUCUCGGAAUCAUCGUGAGCUCUAUGUCUGCAAGUUUCCUCAAUAGCAAUGUAUCACGAUCGAUGUAUCCGCAUGUGUUGAUUUAUCUGAAAUUAUUUAAUUUUAAAAAGAUUUCGUAAUUUGAAAAAAGUAGGAAUAUAAUGUAAUUAACUCUUUACUCUAUGACAUAUUUUUCUUUGUAGUCAGUUUCAAAAGAAUGAUGUAUAACAUAUUUAAAUAACAUUUUGACUUUAAAAUAUUCAUUCUAUUCUUAGUAAUAUUAUUUAUAGUCAUAUGAACAUCUAUGGUUUGUUUUAGACCAUGAGUUUUAAAAGUGUUUUUUCUUUUAAAAAAUUUUCGUGUUAAGUUAAAUUAAAAUUUCAUAAACCGAAAGGGAGUGAGUACAAACUUUAGAUCAAUUUUAUAUUUAUAAAAUUAAAGUUUUUGUAACUAUUUUGUCUUUUAACAAAAUUUAAAAUGAAAUAAUUCACAAUUAUUUUUAUAGUAUUUUUUUAAAAUCAAUAUUCUAUCAAUAAUAAUAAAUUUUUUUAAUUUAAAUAAGAUAAUAAAGUAUUUUAAUUUUGAAAUUCAUGUAUUGAUAUCAAUUGAGAAAAUAUUUAAUUUUAAGUUGUAAAACAUUCAUAAUCUAAUAUUUAAUGUGCUCCUUACUCUCGAUGAAUGACACUAAUUUAUAAUAAUUCAAGAUUGCAAGAAGUAGAAAUCGAGACUAAAACGUGCAACUCACUAUUAUAUGAAGGUCACUAUGUAAUUUAUCUAUUGUGGAAGUCUCAUUAGUAUAUGAUAGAUAAUUCUAUGCCAAAUUAAUUUUUGUUUUCAUAUAUUUAUACAAUUUCAAAAUUUAUCCCGUUAAUUGGUUAUGUAUUUUAUUAAACUACAACUGCACUCAUUAUUUUAUCUUUUUUUUUAUUCUUACAUUAUCAACUCUAUUUUUUUAUCUCUUUAGAAUUGUGAUACUUUUGUUUUCUUAUUUAAAUCACAAUGUUUUAAAGAUAAAACAAAUUUUAUUUUGGAGAUUAAAUAAAUAUUAUUUUGAAGAUAAAAUAAAAAAAAGAUUUACUAACCUACAACCAGGAAGAUCCACUUUGAAACCCAGCGACGAAGAAAACUUUGAAACUCUUAGCCGCGAAAUGAGGGUGAAAGAGUAAAAUCAUUUCUGGAAAAUAAUGAAACGAGGGGAAAAAAGCGUAAUAAAGAUUUAAGGAAUUAGUCUAUGUGGUAGUGGACCCUAUUGACAUGCAAUAUGGAAUUCACAUAGCAUUUAACAACUUCUCUUAAUUAGAAGGGCAAUUUUGACCCAAUAGUUUCACGGAAAGGGUACUUUUGAGCCGAAAUAUACUUUAAGGGUAAAUAUGAGUUAUUUCAGAUAGUUUAAGAGUAUUUUUUACCCUUUUACUUUUAGUCUACGUGGUAGUGGAACCCUAUUGACGUGCAAUGUGAUGGCAUUUAACAACUUCCAUUAAUAAGAAUUGCACUUUUGACACAAUAGUUUGACGGGGAGGAGAGUUUUGAGCGGAAAUAUAAUUUAAGGUAAAUAUGAAAUAUUUCAGAUAGUUUAAGGAUAUCUUUGACCCUUUUAUGUUAAAACUAUAUGAAUACUUAUGUCUAAAAAACAUUGUAUAAAAUUAAAAGGAAAUUAAAUCAUGGAAGAUGGUAGGCUAUACUGAAUAUGUUGUAGUAACAACAAACAUAUAUAAACUAUUAAGUUGUAUAAAUAUUUUUUAUUUAUUAUAAUCAAACAAAUAAAAGUUAAUCUUUAAAAAUUAAAUAAAAUGAUUACAUGGAGUCCCAUGAAACAAAACUUUUUGUGACUCUUGAAAAAGAUUAUUGGAUACUUCUAGAAAAUUAUUUUGACCACUGAUUAUGCAAUUAUAAAGUUGUAAUUUUGCCCAUAAAUAAUGUUUAAAAUUACAAUAUUGUCAUUGGUCAUCCUAAUCAUGACUCUUCUAUAUAAUAGAAAUAAUAAUAACUAGAUAUCAGGUGCCCGUGCUAACGCAAACGCAACGUAUGUUAGAUUUUUCUUCUUCCAAUUUAUGUGACAAAAAUGAAAUUUGAAAAAAAUGAACUAAAUUUUUUAUAUGUGUUUUUUUUAAAAAAUAUUUUAAAUUAUUAAUUUAUGUAUCUUUUUUGUCAUUUUCGAAUAAUAUAUGUUACUUUAUCUAUUUUAUUUUAUAUGAUACAAGUGAUUUUAGGAAAGUAAACGAAAUUUCUUAUAUGAUUUUCAUAUAUUUUUAGUUGUCAUUUUACUGCGAUUCAUAGUACUUUUUAGUUAUUACGUUAUUUUCAAACAAUAUAUGCAACUUUUUUUUUGUUUCAAUAAAAAUAAGGGAGUCAACAAAAUUUCAUUAUGUUUUUUCAACUACAUUUUUCUAAAAAUAUUUUAAAUUGUUACAUUGCUUUUUAAAGUUUUUUUAAAUGUAACUUUCAAAUAUGUAACAAAUUAGAAAUUAAAACGAAGAAUUAAAGUUUUCAAAUCAUUAUAUUUCUAUAUUAGAAUAUUAAAACCUUUAAAACUACAUAUAUAUGCAUAAAUUAGUAGAAGGAAGCCUAACAACUUAUUUUUAAAAAAAUAUAUGAGAGCUCAUUUUAAUAGUAAUACAUACAUAUUUCAUUUUUCAAUAUCCGAAUCCCUCCUUUUCGAUUUAUAUAAAUUUAAUUUAAUUUAAUUUUUAUUUUGUUUCAAAAAGAAAAUAACUUCUGAAUUUUAUUUGUUUAUAAAGCAUAUUUAAGAUCACAAAAUCAAAAAAAAAUAUUUCAAUUCACAAAAUUUAAAUAUACAUAUAAAUUUUAAUUUUAAUUUUGAUUGGUUCCACCUAAUAUUAUACUUGAUAUAUAAUUAUUAAGAGCUAAGCGUAAUCAUUAUCUAUUUACUUUCGUAUAAUAAAUAGAUAUCACAAUAACUCUUAAAAAAUGAAGAAAUAACGAAAAUGAGAUAAUACUAAUAAUAAUCACUAAAGAUUUUCUAGAACUAGUUAAAUUUCUUGUUAUCAAUCGUGUUAGUUUUUUGCUUGCAUAAAUUACAUUUUUACCUUCGAUCAUCAUUCACUUCAUAUAUAGAAAGAUGUUUCUAGAAUUAUUUAUUCUUGAUAAAUUAUUGUUAGAAUGAAAUUACAUUUUAUUCUUAGUCGUCUUUAAUACAAAGUAUCAUCCUAUUCAUUUUUUAUUUGUCAAGUUACUUUUUAAGAUCUUUUUCUUUAAUUUCAGUCUAAUAUAUAUUAUUAAUUUAUCACACUUAUUUAUUUUCAAGUAUAUUAUUAGAGUCAAAAUAAAGAUGAAAAUAAUUAAUUCAUGAUAACUUUUUAUAUAAAAAGUAGGCAUAUAUUAUAAGCAUAAUGAAUAGAAAAAAAUAUUAAGAAUUAAUUUAAAGUAAUAGUAAAGUAGAGUAAUUAUAAAAUAGAUAUCACAAUAACUCACAAAAGAAAAGAAAGUGAAGUGAUAACAAAAUAAGUUAAUGGUAAUAAUAAUAACUUAAAAUAUUUCUAGAACUAUUAUUUUUAUUUUUUUUUGUUAUCAUUCUUCAUAGAUUUUUGUUAGCAUGAAAUUAUAUUUUUGCUGUAACGACCUGUUUAGUCGUUUGGAGCAGCAGAGUUAAUUUCUGAAAAUCACUGUCUGGGUCGACGGAUCCCACGACAGACCGUCAUGGGCACGACGGACCGUCGAGGGUGUCUCGUGCCAAAACACUUAGAAUUUAGAAAUUUGGGUACUGAGAUCGACUCUCUGAACUUCACGACGAAAUGGCAGGACGGACCGUUGAGGGCUCGACGGACCGUCACAAAUCCUUCCGCAGAAUUAACUCUCUGAACCUUGUGACGGACGUGCAGGACGGACCGUCACAGUUGUGACGGACCGUCACAGGCUGCGUGACCCUGACUGGGUCGGAUUUCUGUUAAAUAUUUUAAGGGGCGUUUUGGACUAUUCCUACUUAUAAUUAUAAAGUUAGUGGUUUAAUGUUAAUAAUUUAAUUACUUGGGGGUUAAAAGAGAGAACCUUGAAACAAAUAGUGGGAUAUUUUAUCAUCUUUUAUACUUAAUUAUAUGCUAAUUAGGGUAAAAGAAAGAGGGUUUGAAUAAGAAAAAGAAAAAGAACAGAGAGAGAGGGAGAAACGAUCGAUUGAGAGAGAAGAAGAACGCAGCUUUGGGAAAGUAGAUUGCUUGAUCACAAUCCUUCGGUGGAGGUAGGUUAUGGUUUAUGCUAUUCGUAGUAAACUCUUAAUAGCGAAUGAUAUGUAUUGGGUAGUGUUGUAAACCCUUCUAUAUGCUUAAUUGUAUGCUUGCAUGAAUGUGAUUAUAUAAUUGUGAUAAAAUAAGCAUGAUGAAGCUAUUGAAUCCUAAAUCUUGAAAAUCCUAAUCUACUUUGUUAAUGAUGAUGCCUUGGUAUAAAAGAAGGCUUGAUGAACGAAAGUAGUAAGAUUAGGGGAUCGGAGUGUCACGUUCCGACACCAGGAUAGUAUAUGGAUCGGGUGCCACGUUCCGGUACCAGGAUAGUAUAUGAGGAUCGGAGUGUCACGUUCCGACACCAGGAUAGUAUAUGGAUCGGGUGCCACGUUCCGGUACCAGGAUAGUAUAUGAGGAUCGGAGUGCCACGUUCCGGUACAAGGAUAGUAUAUGAGGAUCGGAGUGUCACGUUCCGACACCAGGAUAGUAUAUGGAUCGGGUGCCACGUUCCGGUACCAGGAUAGUAUGAUGAGGAUCGGAGUGUCACGUUCGGACACCAGGAUAGUAUAUGGAUCGGGGUGUCACGUACCGACACGAGAGAAAUAAAGAUAAUGAAUCUUGAAAGAUGUUAAUAUACUCAAUUUAAUGAACCUAAUUCCCAAAUGAGUAUGAUGGGGAGGCGUGAGUCCUCAUUGAUGUGCUUGGUGUUGUGACCAAGAGUUAUGAUAAUUAUAAAUGCCGCAUGUUGAGUAUUGUAGUUGAUUUUAUGAUAUAUCUGAUAUAUACUAUUUUCUAUUUUGAGUUGGCCGAUGAUAUCUACUCAGUACUCGUGUUUUGUACUGACCCCUACUUGUAAUUGUUUUUCUUUGUUAUUUGUGGAGUGCAGCAAACGUACCGUCGUCUUCAACUCAACCGCAACUCUAGCCAGUCUUCAUUACACCGGAUUUCAGGGUGAGCUAACGCUUCUAGCUUGGACUGGAUCUUCUUCUUCAUGUCUUGAUGCCUUGAAGUUCCGGCAUGGACUAGCUUUUUAUUUAUUCUAGCUUUCUAAAUACUCUUAGAAUUAGUAAUUUGAGGAUAGAUGUUCUUGUGAUGAUGACUUCCAGAUUUUGGGAAUAAUAAGUAUUGAGUUUUUAGAAGUUAUUUAACCGAUUUUCAUUAAUGAGUUUAAGUCUUCCGCAUUAUAUUCUGUUUAUUAUGGUUCAAAUGUUGGGGUUUAGAUUGGUUGGUUCGCUCACAUAGGAGGGUAAGUGUGGGUGCCACUCGCGGCCCGCUUUGGGUCGUGACAUUUGCCCUUGAUUAUUAUUCACUUCAUAUAUAGAAAGAUGUUUCUAGUAUUAUCAAUUAUCUUGCUUAAUAGAUUUUUGUUAGCGUGAAAUUACAUUUUUGCCCUUAAUCGUCCUCCCACUUCACUCUUCUAUAUAAUUGAAUAGAAAUACAUUAUAUAAAAUAAAUAUUUAUAAAUGAUUAUAAGUUUUCUAUAUCCUUUUUAUAGUGAUUAAUUUACAAUAGGUAAAUGGAUAUGUAUGGGUAAUAAAAUAUAUAUGAGAAUAGUAAUUUAAUUGUGAUAUAUGGCAAAUUCAUCAAAUAGUCAGUCUCUAAUAAUUUAUAUAUUAGUAGUGAAGUAUAAUGUUAAAUUUUAAACGAGGAUUUACAUAACGUGAGAAAGACUUCUUUUCUUUUUUAUUUUCUCAAGAGAUUUUUACAUUUUAAAAUUAGUUUAUAACUUAACAUUAAAUUACUUUAUAUGUAUUUUACUUAUUCAAACUCUCACAUAAUUACUUGUACAUUUGUUUAUUUAUGGUCUUCAUAUAUAACCCCUAGUAUAGCCUUGCUAAACUAAAUUUUGAAAAUUAUUACUAGUAAGGUGUUUGUUUCCUCACCUCAUAUAUUUACAUCAUAUGCAUAAAAAUUAUGUAAAAUGAAUAACAUAUUUUUUUAUUUAUUUUUAAAGAGACUAGUUAUUUGGGGCCGCUAAAGCCUACUUCAAAAUUAGCAAAUCAAAAGAAAGGAAGUGUACCUAUCAACCAAGUAAAAAUGUCAACUACUUCUAAAAAGUUUGGACAAUUUUUAAGACUAUGAAAAUAUAGAGACAUAGUAAAAUAUUGCGUGAAUCACUUAAUAAAAUCGAAAACAUAAUAUAUUGGAGAUAGUUUUACUAAAAAUAAUUUUACAAUAAAAUUGAAAUGUGUACAUAUUUAUUGAAUUGUGGGUAUAGAGACAAUUUUUAAGCUUUUUUCUGAUUUACAUAUAUUAAAUCGCGAAAGAAGUCAUGUGUUCUUAAUAAAAUAAUCGCUAAUGGCAAUUAUAUUUGCUGCUAAAAUUCUUCCUCUAAAUAACUUAAUUUACACUUUUAGCGUUUAAGACGCAAUGUCCAUCUUAAACUAAUAAAUAUGAGAAAUAAAUAAACUCAAUUGGGGGAUAACAAUUUCUUAAUUAGUAUGUUAUAUAUACAUUAUUUCAAUUAUACUUUCGAGUUUUGAUAUUACGAAAAUAUAAUGUCAAACUUUAAAGACAAGAAUUUACAAAUGAGAACGACUUUUUUUUAAAAUAUAAUGUCAAACUUUAAAGACAAGAAUUUACAAACCAUGAGAACGACUUUUUUUUAUUAUACGUUUUAUUAUAUAUAUAUAUAUAUACAUACACACACACAUAUAUAUACAUAUAUCAUUGACUCUAUAUAUAUAAGAUAGGAAAGAGGUUAAAAUAUAUCAUUGAACUUUCAGAAAAAAACUCAUUUAUUCAUCAGUUAAAAGUUUGGCUCAUUUAUGCCAUUACCGUUUAAAAAAGAUUCAUUCUUGCCAUUAUUUUUUAAUAAUGGUUUCGCAAAACCAUUUUUAAUACGUGACCAAUUAUAAUCGGCUACGUCCUCAAUUUAUUUAAUUAAAAAAUCAUCAUUCUAAAAAAAAUUGAAUUCAUUUUUUUUGAUUUUUUUAUUAAAUAAAUUGAUGACAUGGCUAAUUAGAAUUCAGUGGGAUUUCUUAAAUUUGGGCGGGUCUUUAUUUGAGUGGGGUUUUUAUUUAAUGUUUUCUCAGAAUUGAUUUUUUAUCAAAAAAAAAUAAAAAAUGAUGUGGCCGAAUCAUAACUUGUCACGUGUGAAAAGUGGUUGGGCAAAAUCGCCGUUAAAAACUAAUGGCAUGAAUGAGUCUUUUCCUAAAUGGUAAUAACAUGAACGAGUCAAACUUUUAACGGAUGACAUAAAUGAGUCUUUUCUAAAAGUUCAACGGCAUAUUUGAGCUUUUUCCCUUAUUAAAAAAGUGGCUUACAUACACUCAUAUUAUUACAUAAAUAUUCUAAAAUAUACCAUUUUGUUCUAACGGGAGUGAAAACAAAUAUUUUUUUAAACAUAAUUUUUUAUUUUUAAGAAGUAAAAUCUGAAUAUAUUAUCUUCCACUUUCCUAGAAAAUAUUAUCCUACAAGAUUUUUUAUUUUUAAAAUUAAAAUUAAUAUUUUCACUUCCAUUAGAUGAUGAAGAUAUACCUGAAUCACUUUUAUAAUGGUAAGGAUAUGUAUGAACUCUUUUAAUUCAAAUGUGAAUUAUUUUAUAAUGAGCGAUAUAACAAUUUUAAAUUGCAAAGUUAUGAAGACCUUUUUAUUUAGGGAAAAGGGUCUGAUAUACCCCUCAACUUUGUCAUUUAGAGCUGAUAUGCCCCUUGUUGUGAAAGUGGCUCAUAUAUACCCUUACUUGUAAACAAAUGGCUCACAUAUACCCUUUUCCUCUAACGGAAAUGGAAAAAAAAAUAAUUUUAAUCUAAUUUUUUAAUAUUUUUUGUCUAAAAAUUAUAAUCCCAUAUGAGUAAAUUUAAUCCUCGUAAAACAUAUUUUUUUUAACCUUUUUUAGUUUCAAUGACUAAUUUAUAAUUAUUAUUUUGAUAAUCAAAUUUAUUUAUGUUUCACUAAUAUUCUUGUAAAACUUAUUGUAGAUAACCAAAUUUUUUCUUCGAAUAUGAAAUUAAAUUACAAUACACACAAAAAAUAGUUUAAAUUUUUUCUCUUUAAACUAAGGAUUGAAAGAAAAAACAUAAGAAUAAGAAACUCAAAUAAUUAUAAUAAAAAAAGUCAAAAAAUAAUUUAUAUAUGAAAAAAAUCAAAAUAUACCUUGAACUUUGAUAGAAGAAUCAUAUAUAUCCCUAAAUAAUUUUUUUAAAAAAUUACAAGUAAUAAAUAUCAAUUUAAAACUAAUUUUUUAACUUCCGUUAAAUGAAGGGUAUAUAUGAGCCAUUUUGUAACGGGAGGGGUAUAUGUGAGCCGUUUGUAUAACGGUAAGGGCAUAUAUGAGCCACUUUUAUAACGGGGGGUAUAUUAGCUCCAAAUAACAAAGUUGAGGAGUAUAUCAGACUCUUUUUCCUUUUAUUUAUUGUAUAAAAGCAUUUCAUAUACUAGUUACAUAUUUAAAUAUUGAAAAUGUUGAUAAGAGAUCCCAUUAAAUGCUAAAGUAUUGGUAUUUUAAAAAAAUUUCCUUUUAUUUAUUGUAUAUAUCUAACAUCUCGUAACUUCAAAUAACUAAGAAUAAACUAAGAAAUCAAGAAUAAUCAUUUUUGGAAAUAAAUAGGAAAUCUGAAAAAUUUCCCAAGUGUAAAAGUGAGUUUUUGGUCAAUUUCAAACGACCAUAACUCCCAGCUUAGGAGGAGUUAGUGUGAGUUCCUUAUAUGGUUGGAAAUCCCUUGGAAAGAAAUUUCCAACAACGCCAAGUUUGUACAUUUUAGAUGUCGUAUGAAGGAGAUAUGACUUUCGAAAGUUUGGUUGUUGGAGUGAGGAAAAUUCAAUCCGGAUUUAGUAAGGAUAAAGUAGUCUUUUCACCCUAGUAUUUUCUAAUUCGUUUUAAGGGUUUAUUAGGGGUAAAAUCAAGUCCAUAUUCAGUUUUGAAAAAGUUGAGAACGCUCAUGGCUUGGGAGAAAAGAGAAGAGAAAACCAAAAUUUCUUCAAGAACGCUAAGGUUUCGCUAGAGGAAUUCAUCGGGGGUGAUCUCUAUCGAGGUAUAUGAGAUCUUUCUAUGUUGGGUUCGUUCACCCACACACCAACAUGUUUAUUUAGCAAUUUUUGUAUUGAUUGAAUAAUGAAUCUUGAAGUUCUUGAUGAGCAAUUGUUGAAUCCUUAUUGGUAGAGUUGUAGUGUACCUUUAGUUGGUGUUGAUUCGUAUUUUCAGGCUGUUUUACGAGUCUAAACUAUUGGGUAUUGAGUAUAUUAGUGAUUGAUACGCUCAAACUUACUUUUUAAAUAAGAAGUAAAGCAGUAAAUGGGGGUUUCUAUUCCUAAAUAAAUGAAAAUAACUAGCGAAAUUAAAGGAGACAACUAACAACUUCGAAUGUUGGAGUUUAAUCACUUAAUCAAAGUAACUAGGGUUUACGUGUUCCCCACAGGUUCAUAACUUGAUAAUUCUAACUAUAACAAUUCUUUCCUAGUAUCUUGCAUGCAAAGUGAUAAGUUAUGUAUUUCUAAAUCCUUGGUCCGGCAUCUAGAAAAUUUCACUCGGCACCUUGGUCCGACUACGUGUGUUGCUAUACUAACCCUUAUAUUUACCUCAUAUUAAGCAUCGUAUUCGAUAUUUGACUAAGUUAUUACCCCGUACCAAUCAAUACUAGCCUAUUAGAUAGUAUACACUAAAUUUAUAUUGAUAAUUCUUUUCCUAUUAUCUUCCUCCUUGGUCCGACAAGUAGCAUUAAGGCGAGUUCUAACGUUGGCCAUCCGUUAAAAAGACUUCCAAGCGAAAGAAUUAUCAAUACAUGCAAGACACUAUUCUAGAAUUGUUAUUUUAGUUAGAUUUUACCUCAUUAUUCGCCUAUGGUUCCCACAACCCUAAUUAUGGAGUUUAGUUACCCAUAAUCAUAAUCACAAUAUUCAAAUAUAUGAUAUAAGAAUUCAUGCACUUACUUCAAUGAGAAAGAGUAAAAUCCAAAAGUUAGCUUGAUUAAUCAACAAUCAAUUACAAGAAUAUCAAAAUAAUCAAGAAUCUCACAAAAAGUCUAAAAAAUAAUCAAGAGUCUAACAAUAAUCAAGGGCCUAACCAAAUAAUCCAGAGUCUAACCUCAAAAACGAGGUUUUUCAAACUAUUUAUAAAAAAUAAAAACCUAAUUACAUAAGGACUCUAUUUGCUGGAAAUCUGUCAAAACGCGGCUGGGUCAACGGACCUCGCGACGCAUCGUCGUGGUCACGACGGACCGUCAUGGACACGACGGACCGUCAUGGACUCCGUCGUCCCAUACUUGAUGCAAUUUCUUAUGCUGCUCUCUUCAUUACUCUCGACAGCAGGUAUGAUGGAUCGUUACAGGCACAACGAUCCGUCGAGGGUCUCCGUUCCAAAACACUUGAACUCUUGGAAUAUGGGUACUGGGACUACUUCUCUGAACUUCAUGACGAACCUGCAGGACGGACCGUCAUGGAUACGACGGUCCGUCACGCAUUUUGUAACCCCACACUUGGUCAGACUUCCCCAUUUUCCUUCAGCAGCUGCACUACGUUGCCACCUACGGACCGUCACGAGCAUGACGGACCGUCACAAGCAUGACGGACCGUCACAAGCAUGACGGACCGUCACAAGCAUGACGGACCGUCACAAGCUCCGUAGGUGGUCUCUUCUGCAUUUCUUUGCUCAAAAACCUCCGCAUUCAUCUUUGGAUAGAUUUCCUGCAAAUAAGGAGAAACUUAUAUAAAAAUUAGCACAAAAAGAUUUUGGACACACUAACUUAAGGAAAAAAUAUUAAUAAUACCGUGACACCAUAGUAUAUCAGUGAUCCUAAGUGUUUGGGAAAAAUCCAUGAAUGUUUUGAAGGUUUAGAGUUGAAAAUCGGAGAAGAAAAGUCAGAAAACUCGUCUGACAGGUCUUGUGGCACCGUGCCUACAAGAGCCCCUCAGGACAGACUCUUUCUGUCAGGCUCUGGCGCGCCGCCGUGCCAGCUAGAGCGCCUGAAGACAGUGUCUGUCGGUCAGGCGCUGGUGCCCCGCGCCUCUCAGAGCGCCAGGGUCACCUGGAGAUUCUAUUUCUCUCCCAUCUUUUCGUACGAGUUCCUAAGUGACGUAUCUAUUAUUUCUAGUUAGUUCCAAUACUCUAAAGUAAAUAUAAACAUUAUGAAAUCAUCCAUAAUAAUGAGAUCAGGAUCCGUGAAUGCAUAAUCCAAUUCAAGGGAAGUUAAGAUCAAAGUCAAAAAAAGUUAAGAGUCAAGUCUAAAAGUUAAAAAACAAGUCAAAGUAAGUUCCUAAAGCAUUCAAGAGUCUUAAACAAACAUUUUAACUUUGUUUUAAGGUUCAAGCAAUGAGUUGAGCAAAGAGUAAAAGAGUUGAGUUAAAUUUUCAAAAGCUAUAAGGGAACUAAGUAUUCCCUAAGAGUUAAGUUUCAAGUUAAGCAAAUAGUAACAAGUUGAGUUCACUUCUCAAGAGUUAGAAGGGAACUAAGUAGUCUCUAACAGUUUAAACAAGAUGUUUUUAAACUUUUGAGAAAGAAAGGAAGCUAGACUUCCACAGAGCCUAUGACUAGUUUUAGUAAAAGAAAAAGGAAACUAUGAUUUCUAAGAAAGUUUUUGAAGCAAAGUUUGAGAAAUUAUCUCAAACUAGAGAAGAAGUUGUUUUAAAAAAACAUAUGAGCUAAGUAUUUUGGGAGUAGUAUUGAGCACCGAUAUGGUGACGCGAGUUCAUAUUAACUCAAGUCUCCAUAAACCAUUGAGCCAACAUGGAGAUAUAAAAGAUCAUACUUUUUAGAUGAUUCCUUAGUAAUUUUAGCAUAGACUAGUGAAUCCUCUUAGUAGUUCAGGUUCUAUAUCGACGACAAGGUAUAGAGUGGUCCUCUUGCAACAUGAGGUAAUACGUUGUACCAUCACUUAGGCUCAUAGAUGGUUGUCGGUUAGAUAAUCUCUCAAAGAAAUUAUAAUACUUUCAAAUAUAUGAGUAAAGUUGAGUUUAUUAUUGAUUUAUCUUUAAUGAACUAAGUGUUUACACUGUUUUACAAGCUUUUCUUAUAUCGCAUGUGUCCUUACUGCUUUAUAUUGAGUCGUUAUUAAUGAGUUGAGCAGAACCAAGGUAAGUUCUUCCUUACUCCUUUCAAGCCUUAUAGUAGUGUUUAGUAUUCCAAUUCGCAUACUCGUUUGGCCUGCAUGCAUCGUCUUAUAAUGCAGAAGCAGGUAAUUAGGAUCAACAUGCAGCACUUUGUUGAACCAGUUUGAGCUCUAGAGUCAGUGGUGAGCCUCCAUGCAUUUCGGAGGAUCCUUUUAUUGCUAUCUAGUUAGUUCAAUAGAAUGUUGUGGGGUUUGUCCCAACAUUCAUCUCAGUCAGUUUAGAGGUUUCAUAGACGGAUAGUAGUAGUUAAGUUGUGUCUCUUUAUUUCAGAUUCUAUAUUUGAGACUUAAGUGCAAAUUUGGCCAAGACAGUAUUUAAAGUCAUUUUUAUGAGAACUUCUUCAAUUCUAUAACUGAAUUAAGUUGAGUCUUCCGCUGAGUUAAGUAAGUCAGACCAAGAGUUCCCUUGAGGCCAGCAAUGGUCACCAAGUGCUAGUCCCACCCAGGGUAUAAGCUCGGAGCAUGCUAAUAUAUGCAUUUCAUAUACGACUUACGUAUUCAGAUACUUUUAACAUUUUGUUAGAGCAGAAGAGUCUUAACUUAUAUAUGUAGGUGAAGUAUUGAUAUAUUGGGAUAUUGGUACUUAUUAUUAUUUUACUUUAAUACUUAUUUAUAAGUCUACAACACACGGUAAGCACACACAAGGUGCUCAACAUGUGUGCUUGAAGUAAAUUUAAUUUUGAAUGAGGUUAAUUUGGUCAUUUUAUAUAAUACUCAAUGUUUCUUUUACUUGUACAAAAUGCAAAAUUGCUUUUAUGGACAUCAAAUGACCAAAAACCCAGUAUCCUUUAACUCAUUGUCAUAUGUUAUAGAACAUUGCAAUUGGUUGAAAAUGAACUUUAAUGUAGUUGCAAUAUAAUUAUUUUUACUUCUUGUCAAAACUGCCCCUAUGCGGCUUAAGCUUAUUUUAUCAACUAUUUGUUAUUACGUGGAGAAAUUAAAGACAUCUUUAGAUGAGUCCUUUUAAGCGGUACCGACCUAGAUAUAUAUAUUCUUUUCGUUUUAUUUAUGUCAUUUUUACUAAAAAUAGGUAAUAUUUAAUAUUUAUCAUUUCACAAAAGUAAUGCAUUAUAUAGUAAUGAAAUCGACUCUCUGAACUCUGUGACGGACCGUCACAGGUACGACGAACCGUCGUGAGCCCCGUUUCAAAACACUUCAACUCUUGAGAAUUUGGUACAGGGAACGAUUCUCUGAACGUCAUGACGGAGGUGCAGGACGGACCGUCGUAGGUACGAUGGGCGUCACAGACUCCUUAAGGAAAUCGAGUCUUUGACGAACCUGCAUGACGGACCGUCGCAGGCACGACGGGCCGUCGCAGGUUGCGCAAUCCCAGUCUAGGUCAGAUUUCUUUACACAUUUUAAGGGACGUUUUUGACUAUUCCUUCUUUAAUUAUAAAGUUAGUGGGUUAAUGUUAAUAAGUCUAAUUACUUGGGGGUUAAAGAGGUAACCUCAAGUUAAUUAGUGGGUUAUUAUUGCCAUCUUUCAUUCUUAAUUAUAUACUAAUUAGGGUAAAAGAAAGAGGGUUUGAAUAAAGAAAAUAGAAAGAACACAAAGAGAGAGAGGGAGAAUCGAACGAGAAGGUGAAAAGAAGAGGAGAAACACAAAGCUUUGGGAAAUUGCUUGCUUGAUUUCUUGUCUUCGGUGGAGGUAGGUUUUGGUUUUCAUGCUAUUCGUAGUAAACUCUUAAUAGCGAAUGAUAUGUGUUAGUAGUAUUGUAAACCCUUCUAUAUGCUUAAUUGUAUGCUUGCAUGAAUGAUGUGAUUAUGGAAUUAUGAAUAAAUAAGCAUGAUGAAGUUAUUGAAUCCCAAAUCUUGAAAAGAAACCUAAUCUACUUUGUUAAUGAUGAUGCCUUGGUAUAAAAGAAGGCUUGAUGAACGAAAGGGGUGAGAUUAGGGGAUCGAGUGCCACAUUCUGGUACCAGUAUAGAGAUAGAGGAUCGGGUGCCACGUUCCGGUACCAGGAUAGAAUGAGGAUCGAAGUGUCACGUUCCGACACCAGGAUAGUAUAUGGAUCGGGUGCCACGUUCCGGUACCAGGAUAGAAUGAGGAUCGGAGUGUCACGUUCCGACACCAGGAUAGUAUAUGGAUCGGGUGCCACGUUCCGGUACCAGGAUAGAAUGAGGAUCGGAGUGUCACGUUCCGACACCAGGAUAGUAUAUGGAUCGGAGUGUCACGUACCGACACGAGGGGAAUAAAUAUAAUGAAUCUUGUAAGAUGCUAAUAUACUCAAUUUAAUGAAACUAAUUCCCAAAUGAGUAUGAUAUUGAGGCUUGAGUCCUCACGUGUGAACUUGACGGUAUUUGUUAAUGAUAUAGUACUUGUUGUUGCUACAUGUUGAGUAUCAUAGUUGAUUUUAUGAUAUUGCUUAAUAUAUAUUGUUUUCUAAUUUCGAGUUGACCGAUGAUAUCUACUCAGUACCCGUGUUUUGUACUGACCCCUACUUUUGUGUUUUCUUCUUUGUUAUUUGUGGAGUGCAGCAAACAUGCCGUCGUCUUCGACUCAACAGUAUUCAAGCCAGUCUUUACUACACCGGAAAUUCAGGGUGAGCUAAUGCUUCUAGCUUGGACUGGAUCUUCUUCUUCAAGUCUUGAUGCCUUGAACUUCCGGCAUGGACUAGCUUCUUAUGUAUUUUUAGCUUCUUAGACAUUUUUAGUUAGUAAUUUGAUCAUAGAUGUUCUUGUGAUGAUGACUUCCAGAUUUUGGGGAAUAAUAGUUAUUGAAUUGGUUUUUAUUUAAUGAGCUUAAGUCUUCCGCAUUAUUUUCUAUUGAUAUACGUUGAAAUGAUAAGGUUUAGAUUGGUUGGUUCGCUCACAUAGGAGGGUAAAUGUGGGUGCCAGUCGCGGCUCGGUUUUGGGUCGUGACAAACCUUGUAUCAGAGCAUUAGGUUCGUUGGUCUCAUCACACAAGAACGAGUCUAGUAGAGUCUUAAGGAACGGUAGGGGGGCGCCUUUACUUUUCUUUGAGGGGCUAUAAGACUUUAGGAAAUUCCAUUCUUUCUUAUCUCUUUCGUGAUACUACUUGAAUCCAAUUGGUAUCUAGGUGAUUCAAAUUGGUAUCUGACCAUCUUCACUCUAUUUCGCAGAUGGUUAGAACUAGAUCAACGACUGCGCCAACACCAACACCGGCAAGACAAGAAACGUCUGAGCCAGCCACUGGGGCUGUGGCUCAAGGAAGAGCAAUAGCAAGAGGUCGUGGUAGAGUUCGUGGGAGGACGUCCUCUAGAGGGAGAGGACGAGUACCUAGCCCAUCUGAUGCUAGGGCGGUGACUCCUCCACCGACUGAGGAAGUAGUAAGAGAGGGUGAGGAAGGGGAGAAUGAACAAGUGCAAAAUGAUGAAUUGCCACCCCAACCUACCCCAGAGAUGAUCAAUCAGGUUCUCGCUUAUCUUAGUGGGUUAUCUGAUUAGGGCCAGACACCUCCAGUGUUUUCUGCACCAGUACCUCAGGUUCCGGAGGUACAACAUGCGGCUACUAUGGCUCCUCGUAUGGAUGCCUCAUUGGACAUAGGCACGUUUCCACGUCUGACUACUGGGCCUAUAAUGACAAAUGAUCAGCAUGAACUUUUCAGUAAGUUCUUGAAAUUGAAACCCCAGUCUUCAAGGGUGCUGAAUCUGAGAAUGCUUACGAUUUUCUGGUUGACUGUCAUGAGCUACUACACAAGAUGGGUAUAGUAGAACGGUUUGGUGUUGAGUUCGUGAGUUAUCAGUUUCAAGGGAACGCCAAAAUGUGGUGGCGGUCACAUGUUGAGUGUCAACCAACAGAGGCACCACCUAUGACUUGGGCCUCAUUCUCUAGCUUGUUUUGGAGAAGUGUGUCAACCAACAGAGGCACCACUAUGACUUGGGCCUCAUUCUCUAGCUUGUUUAUGGAGAAGUAUAUCCCCCAGACUUUGAGGGAUAGGAAAAGGGAUGAGUUCUUGAGCCUAGAUCAAGGUAGGAUGUCGGUUAAUGCAUAUGAGGCUAGGUUUCGCGCACUAUCCAGGUAUGCCACUCAACUUUGUUUCAGUCUACAAGAGCGGAUUCGCCGGUUUGUGAAGGGGUUGAGGUCAGAGUUGCGGAUUUCGGCCUUACAGGUAGCGGCUACGGCAAAAUCCUUCCUAGAAGUGGUAGACUUCGUGAUAGAGGUGGAAGGAGUGAAGCCCAAUGACUUCACCUCGACAUCGACAUCAAAAAGGUUUCGAAAGGGAGGUGAGUUUAAUGGUUCUUACCCUAGGGGAUAGGGUUUCGGAGGUUACUCAGUCCGACCGAUUCAGUCUUCACUACAGACUGUAGUUGGGGGUCCACCUCAGCCGGUCAAAACUUCCUGAGGAGACCUAUGCAUGAACCAAGAAAGUGCUAUGGAUGUGGGUUUCAAUUUUGGAGAUUAAAUAAAUAUUAAUUUUGAAGAUAAAUAAAAAAAAGAUUUACUAACCUACACCAGGCGAAGAUCCCACUUUGAAACCCGCGACGAAGAAAACUUUUGAAAACUCUUACCGCGAUGAGGGUGAAAGAGUAAAAUCAUUUUCUGGAAAAUAAUGAAAACGAGGGGAAAAGCGUAAUAAGAUUUAAGGCAAUUUAGUCUAUGUGGUAGUGCCCUAUUGACAGCAAUAUGGAAUUCAACAUAGCGAAUUUAACAACUUCUCUUAUUAGAAGGGCAUUUUGACACAAUAGUUUCACGGAAGGGUACUUUUUGAGCCGAAAUAUACUUUUAAGGGUAAAUAUGAGUUAUUUUCAGAUAUUUAAGAGUAUUUUUUACUCCUUUUACCUUUUAGUCUACGUGGUAGUGGACCCUAUUGACCGUGCAAUGUGAUGGCAUUUUACAAUUCAUUACAGAAUUGCACUUUUUGACACAAUAGUUUUGACGGGGAGGAGAGUUUUUUGAGCGGAAAUAUAAUUUAAAGGUAAAUAUGAAUAUUUCAGAUAGUUUAAGGAUUCUUUGAGACCCUUUUAUGUUUAAAACUAUAAUGAAUCUUAAUGUCAAAAAACAUUGUAUAAAAUUAAAGGAAAUUAAAAUUCAUGGACAGAUGGUAGGCUAUACUGAAUAUGUUGUAGUAAACAAACAUAUAUAAAACUAUUAAGUUGUAUAAUAUUUUUUAUUUAUUAUAAUCAAACAAAUAAAGUUAUCUUUAAAAUUAAAAUAAAAUGAUUACAUGGAGUCCCAUGAAACAAAAUUUUUGUGACUCUUGAAAAAGAUUACUGGAUACUUCUAGAAAAUAUUUUGACCACUGAUUAUGCAAUUAAUAAAGUUGUAAUUUUGCCCAUAAUAUGUUUAAAUUACAAUAUUGUCAUUGUCCAUCCUAAUCAUGGAAUCUUCUAUAUAAUAGAAAUAUAAUAACUAGAUUCAAGGGUGCCCGUGCUAACGCCAACGCAACGUAUGUUGAUUUUUCUCUUCCAAUUUUAUGUGACAAAAAUGAAUUUGAAAAAAUGAACUAAAUUUUUUAUAUGUGUUUUUUUUUAAAAAAUAUUUUAAAUUAUUAAUUUAUGUACUCUUUUUUGUUGUCAUUUUUGAAUAUAUCUGUUACUUUAUCUAUUUUAUUUUUUAUGAAAUACAGUGAUUUUAGGAAAGUAAACGAAAUUUCUUAUAUGAUUUUCAAUAUAUUUUUAGUUUGUCCAUUUUACUGCGAUUCAUAGUUACUUUUAGUUAUUCACGUUAUUUUCAAACAAUAUAUGCCAAGCUUUUUUUUUGUUUCAAUAAAAAUAAGGGAGUUUCAACAAAAUUUCAUUAUCGGGUUUUACUCAUUUUUUCUAAAAAUUAUUUUAUUGUUCAUUGCUUUUUAAAGUUUUUUUUAAUGUAACUUUCAAAUAUGUAACAAUUUAGAAAUUAAACGAAGAUUAAAGUUUUCAAUCAUUAUAUUUCUAUAAUUAAGAAAAUUAAAUCGCUUUUAAAACUACAUAUAUAUUGCAUAAAUUAGUAAGAAGGAAGCCAACAACUUAUUUUUUAAAAAAAUAUUGAGAGCUCAUUUUUAAAUAGUAAUACAUAAUAUUUCAUUUUUCAUCAUCGAAUCCCUGCUUUUCGGAUUUUAUAUAAAUUAUAAUUUAAUUUAAUUAUUUUUAUUUGUUCAAAAAGAAAAUAACUUCUGAAUUUUAUUUGUUUAUAAAGAUAUUUAAGAUCACAAAAUCAAAAAAAAAAUAUUUCAAUUCACAAAAUUUAAAAAUAUACAUAUAAAUUUUAAUUUUAAUAUUUGAUUGGGUUCACCUAAAUAUUAUACUUGAUAUAUAAUUAUUAAGAGCUAAGCGUAUCAUUAAUCUAUUUACUUUCGUAUAAUAAAUAGAUAUAGCAAUAACUCUUAAAAAAUGAGAAAUAAAAACGAAAUGAGAUAUACUAAUAAUAAUCACUAAAGAUUUUCUAGAACUAGUUUAAAUUUCUUGUUAUCAAUCGUGUUAGUUUUUUUGCUUGCAUAAAUUUCAUUUUUACUUCGAUCAUCAUUCACUUCAAUAUAUAGAAUAAUGUUUCUAGAAUUAUUUAUUCUUGAUAAAUUAAUUGUUAGAAUGAAUUACACAUUUUAUCUUAGUCGUCUUAUACAAAGUAUCACCUAUUUUUUUUAUUUGUCAAGUUACUUUUUAAGAUUUUUUAUUUAUUUCAGUCUACUAUAUAUUAUUAAUUUAUCACACUUUAUUUAUUUUCAAGUUAUUAUAGAGUCAAAAUAAAGAUUGGAAAAUAAUUAAUUCAUGAUACUUUUUAUAUAAAAAGUAGGCAUAUAUUAUAAGCAUAAUGAAUAGAAAAAAAUAUUAAGAAUUAAUUAUUAAGUAAUAGUAAAGUAGCAGUAAUUAUAAAUAGAUAUAACAAUCUCACAAAAGAAAAGAAGUGAAGUGAUAACAAAAUAAGUUAAUGGUAAUAAUAAUACUUAAAAUAUUCUAGAACUAUUAUUUUUUUUUUUUUUUGUUAUCAUUCUUCAUAGAUUUUUUUUGUUAGCCAUGUGAAUUAUAUUUUGCCUGUAACGACCUGUUUAGUCGUUUGGAGCAGCAGAGUUAAUUUCCUGAAAAUCACUCGUUGGGUCGAUCGGAUCCACGACGAAACCGUUUCAAAAAAUGGGCCCAAAAAAAAAACGAACCGGACGUCGAGGGUGUCUCGUGCCAAAACACUUAGAAUUUAGAAAUUUGGUACUGAGAUCGACCUCUGAACUUCACGACGAAAUGGAGGACGGAACCGUUGAGGGGCUCGACGGACGUCAAAAUCCUUACCGCAGAAUUAACUCUCUGAACCUUGUGCACGGAACGUGCGGACGGACCGUCAAGUUGUGACGGACCGUCACAGGCUGCGUGACCUGACUGGUCCGGAUUUUCUGUUAAUAUUUUAGGGCGCGAUUUUGGACUAUUCUACUUUUAUACACUUAUCAAGUUUAGUGGUUUAAUGGUUAAUAAUUUAAUUACUUGGGGUUUAAAGAGAGAACCUUGGAACAAAUAGUGGGAUAUUUUAUCAUCUUUUUAUACUUAAUUUAUAUGCUAAUUGGUAAAAGAAAGAGGGUUUGAAUAAAAAAGAAAAAAGAGCAGAGAGAGGGGAGAACGAUCGAUUGAGAGAGAAGAAGAACGCAGCUUUGGGAAAGUAGAUUGCUUGAUCACAAUCCUUCGGUGGAGGUAGGUUAAUGGUUUACUUGCUAUUCGUAGUAAACCUUAAUUAGCGAAUGAUAUGUUUUGGGUAUGUUGUAAACCCUUUAUAUGCUUAUUGUAUGCUUUGCAGAAGUGAUUAUUAUUGUGAUAAAUAAGCAUGAUGAAGCCUUUGAUCCUAAAUCUUGAAAAUCCUAAUCUACUUUGUUAAUGAUGAUGCUUUGGUAUAAAGAAGGCUUGAUGAACGAAAGUAGUAAAGAUUAGGGGAUCGGAGUGUCACGUUCCGACACCCAGGAUAGUAUAUGCGAUCGGGUUGCCAACGUUCCGGUACCAGGAUAGUAUAAUGAGGAUCGGAGUGUCACGUCGACACCAGGAUAGUAUAAGUGGAUCGGGUGCCACGUUCCGGUCCAGGAUAGUAAUAAUGAGGAUCGGAGUGCCACGUUCCGGUACAAGGAUAUUAUAUGAGGUCGGAUGUCACGUUCCCGACACCAGGAUAGUAUAGUGGAUUCGGGUGCCACGUUCCGGUACCAGGAUCAGUAUGGAUGAAGGAUCGGAGUGUCACGUUCGACACCAGGAAUAGUAUAUGGAUCGGGGUGCUCAGUACCAGACACGAGAGAAAUAAAGAAUAAUGAUCUUGAAAGAUGUUUAAUUAACUCAAUUUAAAUGAACGCUAAUUCCAAAUGAGUAUAGAGGGGAGGCAGUGAGUCCUCAUUGAUUGUGGCUUGGUGUUGUUGACCAAGAGUUAUGAUAAUUAUAAAUGCGCAUGUUGAGUAUUGUAGUUGAUUUUAGAUAUAUCUGAUAUAUAUCUGUUUUCUAUUUUUGAGUUGGCCGAUGAUAUCUACUCAGUCUCGUAGUUUUUGUACUGACGCCCUACUUGUAAUUGUUUUUGUCUUUGUUAUUUGUGGAGUGCAGCAAACGUACGUCGUCUUCAAUCAACGCAAACUCUAAGCCCGUCUUCAAUUACAACCGGAUUUCAGGGUGAGCUAACGUUCCUAGCUUGGACUGGAUCUUUUCUUCAUGUCUUGAUGCCUUGAAGUUCCGGAAUGGACUAGUUUUUUUAUUUAUUCUAUAGCUUUUCUAAAUACUCUUAGAAUUCAGUAAUUUGAGGAUAGACUUGUUCUUGUGAUGAUGACUUCCAGAUUUUGGGAAUAAUAAGUAUUAGAGUUUUUAGACGUUUAUUACAUUCAACAAGAUUAUAUACAUAUAUAAGAAGAUUUAGUCUUUCCGCAUUAUAAUUCUGUUUAUUAUGGUUCAAAUGUUGGGGUUUAGAUUGGUUGGUUUCGCUCACAUAGGGGGUAGUGUGGGUGCCACUCGGGUCCCGCUUUGGUCGUGACAUUUGCCCUUGAUCUAUUAUUCACUUUACAUAUAUAGAAGAUGUUUCUAGUAUUAUAUCAAUUAUCUUUGCUUAUAGAUUUUUGUUAGCGUGUGAAAUUAAUUUUGGACCUUAAUCGUCCUCCACUUCACUCUUCUAUAUAAUUGAAUAGAAAUAACAUUAUAUAAAAUAAAUAUUUAUAAAUGUUAUAAGUUUUCUAUAUCCUUUUUUUAUAGUGAUUAAUUAACAAAUAGGUAAAUCGGAUAUGUUCGGGUAAAAUAAAUAUAUAUGAGAAUGUAUUUAUUGUGAUAUAUGGCAAUUCAUCAAUAGUCAGUCUCUAAUAAUUUAUAUAUUAGUAGUGAAGUAUAUGUUAAAUUUUAAAACGAGGAUUUUACAUAAGUGGAGAAGACUUCUUUUCUUUUUUAUUUUCUCACGAGAUUUUACAUUUUAAAAUUAGUUUAUAACUUAACAUUAAAUUACUUUAUAUGUAUUUUACUUAUUCAAACUCUCACUAUCAAUAUUGUACAUUUGUUUAUUUUUGGUCUUCAUAUUAACCCUAGUAUAGCCUUGCUAAACUAAAUUUUGAAAAUUAUUAUAGUAAGGUGUUUGUUUCCUCACCUCAUAUAUUUACAUCAUAUGCAUAAAAAUUAUGUUAAAUGAAUCAACAAUAUUUUUUUUAUUUAUUUUUAAGAGAGCUAGUUAUUUGGGGCCGCUAAAGCCUACUUCAAAAUUAGGCAAAUCAAAAGAAGGAAGUGUACUAUCAACAAGUAAAAAUGUCAACCUACUCUAAAAAGUUUGGACAAUUUUUAAAGAUAACUGAAAUACUAGAGACAUUAGUAAAUAUUGCGUGAAUCACUUAAUAAAUCGAAAAACAUAAUAUUUUGGAGAUAGUUUUACUAAAAUAUUUUUAACAAUAAACUUGAAUGUUGUACAUAUUUAUUGAAUUGUGGGUAUAGAGACAAUUUUUAGCUUUUUUUCUGAUUUAACAAUAUAUUAAUCGCGAAAGAAGUCAUGUGUUCUUAAUAAAUAAUCGCUAAUGGCAAUUAUUUGCUGCUAAAAAUUCUUCCUCUAAUAAACUUAUUUACACUUUUAGCGUUUAAGACGCAAUGUCCAUCUUAAACUAAUAAUAUUUGGGAAAAAAAAAGGAGGAAAUAAAUUAAACUCAAUUGGGGGAUAACAAUUUUCUUUUAAUUAGUAUGUUAUAUAUACAUUAUUUCAAUUAUACUUUCGAGUUUUUGAUAUACGAAAAUAUAAUGUCAAACUUUAAGAGCAAGAAUUUACAAAAUGAGAACGACUUUUUUUUAAAAUAUAAUGUCCAAACUUUAAAUGACAAGAUUUACAAACCAUGAGACCGACCUUUUUUUUUAUUAUAACGUUUUUUUAUAUAUUAUAUAUAUACAUACACACACACAUCUAUAUCCAUAAUAUCAUUGACUCUUAUUAUAGAUAGGAAAGAGGUUUAAAAUAUAUCAUUGAAACUUUCGAAAAAAACUCAUGUUAUUCAUCAGUUUAAAAGUUUGGUCUCAUUUAUGCCAUUAACCUGUUUAAAAAGAUUCAUUUCUUGCCAUUAUUUUUUAUAAUGGUUUUCGCAAAACCAUUUUUAAUACGUGACCAAUUUAACUCGGCUACGUCCUCCCAUUUAUUUAAUUAAAAAUCAUCAUUCUAAAAAAAAUUGCAUUCAUUUUUUUUUUGAUUUUUUUAUUAAUAUUUGAUGAAUGGCAAUUGAAUUCAGUGGAUUUUCUUAAUUUGGGCGGGUCUUUUAUUUGAGUGGGGUUUUAUUUAUGUUUUUCUUCAGAAUUGAUAUCAAAAAAAAAUAAAAAAUGAUGUGGCCGAAUCAUAACUUUGUCACGUGGUGAAAAGGGUUGGGCCAAAUCGCGCCGUUAAAAACUAAUGGCAGAAAUGAGUCUUUUUCCUAAAUGGUAAUAACAUGAACGAGUUCAAACUUUUAACGGAUCACAUAAUGAAGAUCUUUUCUAAAAGUUCAACCGGCAUAUUUGAGCUUUUUCCCUUAUUUAAAAAAAGUGCUUACAUAACACUCAUUUAUUACAUAAAUAUUUCUAAAAUAUACCAUUUUUUCUAACGGGAGUGAAAAAAAUAUUUUUUUAAACAUAAUUUUUUCAUUUUUUUAAGAAAGUAAAAUCUUGAAUAUAUUAUCUUCCACUUUCUAGAAAUAUUUAUGCCUACAAGAUUUUUUUUUAUUUUUAAAAUUAAAAUUAAUAUUUUCACUUCCAUUAGAUUGAUGAAGAUAUAUCUGAAUCACUUUUUAUAAAAUGGUAAGGAUAUGUAUGAACUCUUAUUUAAUCAAAAUGUGAAUUAUUUUUAUAAUGAGCGAUAUAAAAAUUUUAAUUGCAAAGUUAUGAAGACUUUUUAUUUAGGGAAAAGGGUCUGAUAUACCCCUCAACUUUCAUUUAGAGCUGAUAUGGCCCUUGUGUGAAAGUGGCAUCAUAUAUACAUUAGCUUGUAAAACAAAUGGCUCACAUAUACCCUUUCCUCUAACGGAAAUGGAAAAAAUAAUCUUUACUAAUUUUUUAAUAAUUUUUUUGUCUAAAAAUUAUAUCCCAUAUGAGUAAAUUUAAUCCGUCGUAAAACAUAUUUUUUUUAAACCUUUUUUUAGUUUCAAAUGACUAUUUAUAAUUAUUAUUUUGGAUAAUCAAAUUUAUUUAUGUUUCACUAAUAUUCUUGUAAAGACUUAUUGUUAGAUGAACCAAUUUUUUCUUCGAUACCGAAUUAAAAUUACAAUACAGCACAAAAAAUAGUUUAAAUUUUUUCUCUUUAAACUAAGGAAUUGGAACAGAAAACAUAAGAAUAGAAAACUCAAAUAAUUAUAAUAAAAAAGUCAAAAAAUAAUUUAUAUAAUGAACAAAUAAAUAUCGCUGAACUUUUGAUAGAAGAAUCAUAUAUAUCCCUAAAUAAUUUUUUUAAAAAAUUAAGUAAUAAAUAUGCCAAUUUAAACUAAUUUUUUUAACUUCCGUUAAAUGAAGUGGUAUAUAUGAAGCCAUUUUGUAACGUGGAGGGGUAUAUGUGAGCGCAGCCGUUUGUAUACACGGUAAGGGCAAUAUAUGAAGCACUUUUAUAACGGGGGCGUAUUAUUAGCUCAAUAAACAAAGUUGAGGAGUAAUAUCAGACCUUUUUCUUUUAUUUAUUGUAUAAAAGCUUUCAUAUACUAGUUACAUAUUUAAAUAUUGAAAAUGUUGAUAAGAGAUACCCAUUAAAUGCUAAAGUAAUUGGUAUUGUUAAAAAAUUUCCUUUUAUUUUAUUGUAAUAUAUCUAACAUCCUCGUACUUCACUAACUAAGAAUAAAACUAAGAAUCAAGAAUAAUCAUUUUUUUUGGAAAUAAAUAGGAAAUUCCUGAAAAAUUUACCAGUUGUAAAAAGUGAGUUUUUGGUCAAUCUUCAAACGACCAUAACUCCCAGCUUAGGAGGACGUUUAGGUGUGAGUUCCUUAUUGGUUGGAAAUCCCUUGGAAAGAAAUUUCCAAACGCCAAGUUUGUACAUUUUAAGAUGUGCGUAUGAAGGAGAUAUGAUUUCGAAAGUUUUGGUUUGUUGGAGUGAGGAAAAUUCAAUCCGGAUUUAGUAGGAUAAAGUAGUCUUUUCACUCUAUAUUUCUAAUUCGUUUUUAAAGGGUUUUAUUAGGGGUAAAUCAAGUCCAUAUUCAGUUUUGAAACAGUUGAGAACGCUCAUGGCUUGGGAGAAAAGAGAGAGACCAAAUUUCUUCAAAGAAGCUCAGGUUUCGCUAGAGGAAUUCAUCGGGGGUGAUCUCUAUUCGAGGUAUAAUGAGUAUCUUUCUUAUGUUGGUCGUUCACCCCACACACCACUGUUUUAUUUAGACAAUUUUUGUAUUGAUUGAAUAAUGAAUCUUGAAGUUCUUGAUGAGCCAAUUGUUGAUCCUUAUUGGUAGAGUUGUAAGUGUCUUUAGUUGGUGUUGUUCGUAUUUUCAGGCUGUUUUACGAGUCUAACUAUUGGGUAAUGAGUUAGUAUUAGUGAUUGAUACGCUCAAACUUACUUUUUAAAUAAGAAGUAAGCAGUAAAUGGGGUUUCUAUCUCCUAAAUAAAUGAAAAUACUAAAGCGAAAUUAAGGGGACAACUAACCUUCGAUGUUGGAGUUUAAUCACUUAAUCAAAGUAACUAGGGUUUACGUGUUUCCCCCCACAGGUUUCAUAACUUGAUAAUUCUAAAUAUAACAUUCUUUUCUUUUCUUGUAUCUUGCAUUUGCAAGUGAUAAGUUAUGUAUUUCUAAAUCCUUGGUCGCGGCAUCUAGAAAAUUUUCACUCGGCAACCGGUUGGUCCGACUACGUGUGGUUUUCGCUAUAAUAACCCUUAUUAUUUACCUCAUAUUAAGCAUCCGUAUUCGUAUUUGACUAAGUUAUUACCCCGUACCAAUAAUAUCAGCCCUAUUACGAUAGUAUACACUAAAUUUAUUAUUGGAUAAUUUUUCUAUUUCUUCUCUCUUGGUCCGACAAGUAGCAUUAAAGCGCGAGUUCCUAACGUUGGCCAUCCGUUAAAGACUUCCAAGCGAAAGAAUUAUCAAUACAUGCAAGACACUAUUCUAGAAUUGUUAUUUUUACGUUGAUUUUACUCAUUAUUCGCCUAUGGUUCCCAACUACCCUAAUUAUGGAGUUUAGUUACCAUAAUCAUAAUCAAAUAAUUCCAAAUAUAUGAUAUAAGAAUUCAUGCACUUACUUCAAUGAGAAAGAGUUAAAGAUCAAAAGUUACGCUUGUUAUCACAAUCAAUUACAAGAAUAUAAAUAUCAGAAUCUCACAAAAAGUCCUAAAAAAUAAUCAAAGAGUCUAACAAUAAUCAAGGGCUAUACCAAUAAUCCAGAGUCUACCUCAAAAACGAGGUUUUUUCAAACUAUUUAUAAAUAAAACUAAUUACAUAAGGACUCUAUUUUGCUGGAAAUCUGUCAAACGCGGCUGGGUUCAACGGACCUCGGCGACGGAGCGUCGUGGUCACGACGGCUCCGUCAUGGAACGACGGACCGUCAGUGGAUCCGUCGUCCGCAUACCUUGAUGCAAUUUCUUAUGCUGCUCUCGCUCUUCAUUACCCUCGACGCAAGGUUGAUGGAUCGUUACAGGCACAACGAUCCGUCGAGGGUCUCCGUUCAAAACACUUGAACUCUUGGACAUAUGGGUACUGGGACUACUUCUCUGAACUUAUGCGAUGACUGCAGGACGGACCGUCAUGGAUACGACGGUGUCACGCAUUUUGUUAAACCCCACCCUUGGUCAGACUUCCCAUUUUUCGCUUCAGGCAGUGCUACGUUGGCCACCUACGGACCGUCACGAGCAUGACGGACCCGUCACAUAGGCAUGACGGAACGUCACAAGCAUGACUGGACCGUCACAGCAUGAGGACGGUCACAAGCUCCGUAGGUGGUCUCUUCUGCUAUUCUUUGCUCAAAACCUCCGCAUUCAAUUUUUGGCUAGAUUUCCUGAAAUAAGGAGAAACUUAUAUAAACAUUAGCAGCAAAAAGAAUUUUUUGGACAGCACUAACUUAAGGAAAAAAUAUUAAAUAAUACGUGAACCAUAGUAUAUCAGUGAUGCCUAAAGUUGUUUGGGAUAAAUCAUGAAUGUUUUGCAGGUUUAGGUUGAAAAUGCGGAGAAGAAAAGUCAGAAAACUCGUUGACAGGUCUUGUGGCAAUUCCGUGCUACAAGAGCCCUCAGGACAGACUCUUUCUGUCAGGCUCUGGCGCGCCGCCGUGCAGCUAGAGCGGCCUGAAGACAGUGUCUGUCGUCAGGCUCUGGUGCCCCGCGCCUCUCAGAGCGCAAGGGUCAGCCUGGUGAUUCCUUAUUCUCUCUCACCAUCUUUUCGUACGAGUUCCUAAGUGACGGUUCUAUUAUUUCUAGUUCGUUCCAAUAACUCUAAGUAAAUAUAAAACAUUAUGAAAUCAAUCCUAUAAUGAAUCAGGAUCGUGAAUUUUUGCAUAAUCCAAUCAAGGGAAGUUAAGAUCAAGUCAAAAAAGUUUAAGAGUCAAGUUAAAAGUUAUAAAAAACAGUUCAAAGUAGUUCCUAAAGCAUUCAAGAGUUUUAACAAACAUUUUACUUUGUUUUAAGGAUUCAAGCAUGAGUUGAGCAAAAGAGUAAAAGAGUUGAGUUAAAUUUUCAAAAGCUAUAAGGGAACUAGUAUUCCCUAAGAGUUAGUUUUCAAGUUAAAGCAAAUAGUAACAAGUUCGAGGUUCAGCUUCUCAAGAGUAGAAGGGAACUAAGUAGUCUCUUAACAGUUUAACAAGAAUGUUUUUCAACUUUUGAGAAGAAAGGAAGCUAAGACUUCCACAGAGCCUAUGAAUGUUUUAGUUAAAAGAAAAAGGAAACUAUGAUUUCUAAGAAAGUUUUUGAAGCAAAGUUUGAGAAAUUCAUCUCAAACUAGCAGAAGCAAGUUGUUUUAAAAAAACAUAUGAGCUAAGUAUUUUGGGAGUAGUAUUGAGCACGAUAUGGUGAGCGCGAGUUCAUAUUAACGUCAAGUCUCCAUAAACCAUUGAGCAACAUGGGAUAUAAAAGAUAUACUUUUAGAUGAUUCGCUUAGUAUUUUAGCAUAGAUAGUGUGAUCCUCUUAGUAGUUUCAAGGUUCUAUACGACGACAAGGUAUAGAGUGGUCCUCUUGCAACAUGAGGUAAUACGUUUGUAACCAUCACUUAGCUCAUACGAUGGUUGUCCGUUAGAUAAAUCUCUCAAAGAAAUUAUAAUACUUUCAAAUUAUAUGAGUAAAGUUGAGUUUUUUAUUGAUUUAUCUUUAAUGACUAAGUGUUUACCUGUUUUUUCAAGCUUUUCUUUUAAUAUCGCCAUGUGAUCCUAUACUGGCUUUAUAUUGAGUCGUUAUUAAUUGAAGUUGAGCAGGAACCAGGUAAGUUGCUUCCUUACUCCUUUCAAGCCUUAUAGUAGUGUUUAGGUAUUGCCAUUACGCAUACAUCGUUUGGCUGCAUGCAUAGUCUUUAAUGCCAGAAGCAGGGUAAUUAGGAUCAACAUGCAGCACUCUUGUUGAACCAGUUUGAGGCUCUAGAGUCAAGUGGUCGAGCCUCAUGCAUUCGGAGGAUCCUUUUUAUUGCUAUCUAGUUAGUUCAAUAGAUGUUGUGGGGUUUGUCCCAACAUUCAUCUCAGUCAGUUAGAGGGUUUCAUAUGACGGAUAGUAGUAGUUAGUUGUUCUCUUUUAUUUCAGAUUCUAUUAUUUGAGACUUAGUGCAAAUUUUGGCCAAGGACAGUAUUUAAAGUCAUUUUUAUGAGAGUUCUUGCAUUCUAUAGACUGAAUUAAGUUGAGUCUUCUGUGAGUUAAGUAGUCAGACCACGAGUUCCCUUGAGGGCGCAGCAUGGUCACCAGUGCUAGUCCAACCCAGGGUAUAAAUGCUCGGAGCAUGCUAAUAUAUGCAUUUUUCAUAUACGACUUACGUAUUCAGAUACUUUUAACAUUUUGUUUAGAGCAGAAGAGUCUUAACUUAUUAUGCUAGGUGAAGUAUUGAUAUAUUGGGAUAUUGGUACUUAUUAUUAUGUUUACUUUAAUCUUAUUUAUAAGUUACAACACACGUAAGCACACACAAGGUGCUCAACAUGUGUGCUUGAAGUAAAAUUAAUUUUGAAUGAGGUUUAAUUUGGUCUUUUAUAUAAUACUCAAUGAUUUUCGCUUUUUUACCAACUUUUAAAACACACUUGUAAAAAUGCAAAAUUGCUUUUAUGGACAUCAAAUGACCAAAAACCGCGCGAGUAUCCUUUAACCUCAUUGUAUAUGUUAUAGAACAUUGCAAUUGGUUGAAACUGAACUUUAAAUGUAAGUUGCAAUUUAUUAUUUUUCUUCUUGUCUAAAACUGCCCUAUGCGGCUUAAGCUUUAUUUUUAUCAACUAUUUGUUUAUUAGUGGAGAAAUAGCUCUUUAGAUGAGUCCUUUUAAGCGGUACCGCGAGCUAGGAUAUUAAUAUAUGUCUUUUCGUUUUAUUUUAUGUCAUUUGUUACUAAAAAUAGGUAAUAUUAAUAUUUAUCAUUUCACAAGUAAUGGUAAUCAUUAUAUAGUAAUGAAAUCGACGUCUCUGAACUCUGUGACGGACGUCAGGUACGACGAACGUCGUGAGCCCGUUUCAAAACACUUCAACUCUUGAGAAUUUUGGUACAGGGAACGAUUCUCCUGAAACGUCAUGACGGAGGUGCAGGACGGACCGUCGAGGUCGAUGGCCGUCACAGAUCCUUAAGUGAAUCGAAGUCCUUUGACGAACCUGCAUGACGGCCGUCGCAGGCACGACGGGCCCGUGCGCAGGUUGGCAUCAGUCUAAGGUCAGAUUUCUUUACACAUUUUAAGGGACGUUUUUGACUAUUCCUUCUUUAAUUUAAAGUUAGUGGUUAAUGUUAAUUAAGUUAAUUACUUGGGUUGGUUAAAGGGUUAAACCUCAAGUUUAAAUUAGUGGGUUAUUAUUGCAUCUUUCAUUCUUAAUUAUAUACUAAUUGGUAAAAGAAAGGGGUUUUGAAUAAAGAAAAUAGAAGAACACAUAAGAGGAGGGGAGAUAUCGAACGAGAAGGGAUAAAAGAAGAGGAGAACACAAAGCUUGGGAAAUUGGCUUGCUUGGAUUUCUUGUUUCGGUGGAGGUAGGUUUUGGUUUUCAUGGCCUAUUCGUAGUAAACUUUAAUAGCGAAUGAUUGUGUUAGUAGUAUUGUAAACCCUUCUAAUUGCUUAAUUGUAAUGCUUGCCAUGAAUGAUGUGAUUAUCGGAAUUAUUGAAUAAAUAAGCAUGAUGAAGUUAUGGAAUCCGCAAUCUUGAAAAGAACCCUAAUUACUUUGUUAUGAUGAUGCCUGGUAAUAAAAGAAGGCUUGAUGAAGCGAAAGGGGUGAGAACAUAAAUCAAAUGGAGUGAGCUCAAAUUUAGUGAAUUUUUUUUUAAAAAAUAUUUUGUUGUUUAACAAUUUUUAAAAUGAAAAUGCUAAACCUUUUUCACAAUUAUGUUUUAUAGUUUUUUUAUCAAUAUCUAGUCGAUGAUAACCAUAAUUUUAAUAUAAAUAAUAUAAUAAGGUAACUUAAUUCUGAAAUUCAAGUAUUGAUAUUUUUGAGAAAAUAUUUAUUUAUAAAUUGUAAAACAUUCAUAAUCUAAUAUUUAAUAUGUUUCUUACUCUCAACGAAUGACACUAAUUCAUCAUGAUUCAAAAUUGUAAGAAGUAAAAAUCAAUACUAAAAAGUGCAACUCAUUAUUAUAUGAAGUUUAAUAUGUAGUUUAUCUAUUGUCGAAAGUUUUCCAAGUAUAUGAUAUAUAAUUCUAUGAUAAAUUAAUUUUUGAUCCCAUAUAUUUAUACUAUUUUCAAAUUUAUCCCGUUAAUUGAUUAUAUAUUUUCUUAAACUACAAUUACGCGAUCAUUAUUUAUCAAUUCUACUUUAUCAACUUUAUAUUCUUCUUUUUAUAUCUUUAGAAUUGUGCUAUUUUUGUUUUCUUAUUUAAGUUACAAUUUUAAAGAUAAAAUAAAUAUUUUUGGAGAUAAAAUAAGUUAAAUAAAAAACUAUAUGAAUACUUAUGUUGAAAAAAAAUAUAUAUAAUUAAAAAAUUGUCCUAUUUUUAUUUUCUUAUUUAAGUCACAAUUUUUAAAGAUAAGAUAAAUAUUAUUUUGAGAUAAAAUAAGUUAAAUAAAACUAUAUGAAUACUUUUGUUUAGAAACAUUAUAUAUAAUUAAAAAAAUUACAUAUAUGAAAGAUUUUAUAAAUUAUACUGGUUAUGUUGUAGUAGUAAUAAACAUAGAUGAACAAUUUGUAUUGUCAAGAGUAUAAAAAUAAAAAUAUUUUUCACAUUAUUAUUAUAUCAAACAAAUACAAAUUGAUUUUCAAAAAGAAUAAUAAAAUGUAUUUGUGGGUCACACAUGAAACAAAAAUAUGUGAUUCUUGAAAAAAAAAUAAUAGAUUCUUCUAGAAAACUAUUUUGACAAUUAAUUAUACAAUUAUAAAUUUAAAACUUAACCCAUAAAAAUAAUUAAAAUUACAAAAUUGUCAUUGAUUGGCCUCAUCAUGACUCUUAUGUAUAAUAGAAACUAGAUAAUUGAAGGCCCGUUCAUGGGCUCAAUAUAAUUAAUUAUUUUUUUCAAUUUUAAGUUAAAAAAAUUAUCCAAAUUAAUAUCUUAUUUUAUCAUAGUUUCUAAAAUUUUCUACUAUUUAAACAAUUACAAAAAUGUCCUCUAAGAUACAUUCUUAUCCUCUGUCGGACACAUCAGUAUCUCCUCUCGAAUACAUUCCUAUCAUUUCUUGAAUACAUCUUUAUCUCAUCCUGAAACAUCCAUAUCCUCUCUGGGAUACAUCUCUCCCCUUUCGGAUACAUUCAUUCUCUCUCGAAUACAUCCCUACCUUCUCGAAAUCAUCGUGAGCUCUAUGUCUGCAAGUUUCCUCAAUAGCAAUGUAUCACGAUCGAUGUAUCCGCAUGUGUUGAUUUAUCUGAAAUUAUUUAAUUUUAAAAAGAUUUCGUAAUUUGAAAAAAGUAGGAAUAUAAUGUAAUUAACUCUUUACUCUAUGACAUAUUUUUCUUUGUAGUCAGUUUCAAAAGAAUGAUGUAUAACAUAUUUAAAUAACAUUUUGACUUUAAAAUAUUCAUUCUAUUCUUAGUAAUAUUAUUUAUAGUCAUAUGAACAUCUAUGGUUUGUUUUAGACCAUGAGUUUUAGAAGUGUUUUUUCUUUUAAAAAUUUUCGUGUUAAGUUAAAUUAAAAUUCCAUAAACCGAAAGGGAGUGAGUACAAACUUUAGAUCAAUUUUAUAUUUAUAAAAUUAAAGUUUUUGUAACUAUUUUGUCUUUUAACAAAAUUUAAAAUGAAAUAAUUCACAAUUAUUUUUAUAGUAUUUUUUUAAAAUCAAUAUUCUAUCAAUAAUAAUAAAUUUUUUUUAAUUUAAAUAAGAUAAUAAAGUAUUUUAAUUUUGAAAUUCAUGUAUUGAUAUCAAUUGAGAAAAUAUUUAAUUUUAAGUUGUAAAACAUUCAUAAUCUAAUAUUUAAUGUGCUCCUUACUCUCGAUGAAUGACACUAAUUUAUAAUAAUUCAAGAUUGCAAGAAGUAGAAAUCGAGACUAAAACGUGCAACUCACUAUUAUAUGAAGGUCACUAUGUAAUUUAUCUAUUGUGGAAGUCUCAUUAGUAUAUGAUAGAUAAUUCUAUGCCAAAUUAAUUUUUGUUUUCAUAUAUUUAUACAAUUUCAAAAUUUAUCCCGUUAAUUGGUUAUGUAUUUUAUUAAACUACAACUGCACUCAUUAUUUCAUCUUUUUUUUUUAUUCUUACAUUAUCAACUCUAUUUUUUUAUCUCUUUAGAAUUGUGAUACUUUUGUUUUCUUAUUUAAAUCACAAUGUUUUAAAGAUAAAACAAAUUUUAUUUUGGAGAUUAAAUAAAUAUUAUUUUGAAGAUAAAAUAAAAAAAAGAUUUACUAACCUACAACCAGGAAGAUCCACUUUGAAACCCAGCGACGAAGAAAACUUUGAAACUCUUAGCCGCGAAAUGAGGGUGAAAGAGUAAAAUCAUUUCUGGAAAAUAAUGAAACGAGGGGGAAAAAAGCGUAAUAAAGAUUUAAGGAAUUAGUCUAUGUGGUAGUGGACCCUAUUGACAUGCAAUAUGGAAUUCACAUAGCAUUUAACAACUUCUCUUAAUUAGAAGGGCAAUUUUGACCCAAUAGUUUCACGGAAAGGGUACUUUUGAGCCGAAAUAUACUUUAAGGGUAAAUAUGAGUUAUUUCAGAUAGUUUAAAAGUAUUUUUUACCCUUUUACUUUUAGUCUACGUGGUAGUGGAACCCUAUUGACGUGCAAUGUGAUGGCAUUUAACAACUUCCAUUAAUAAGAAUUGCACUUUUGACACAAUAGUUUGACGGGGAGGAGAGUUUUGAGCGGAAAUAUAAUUUAAGGUAAAUAUGAAAUAUUUCAGAUAGUUUAAGGAUAUCUUUGACCCUUUUAUGUUAAAACUAUAUGAAUACUUAUGUCUAAAAAACAUUGUAUAAAAUUAAAAGGAAAUUAAAUCAUGGAAGAUGGUAGGUUAUACUGAAUAUGUUGUAGUAACAACAAACAUAUAUAAACUAUUAAGUUGUAUAAAUAUUUUUUAUUUAUUAUAAUCAAACAAAUAAAAGUUAAUUUUUAAAAAUUAAAUAAAAUGAUUACAUGGAGUCACCAUGAAACAAAACUUUUUGUGACUCUUGAAAAAGAUUAUUGGAUACUUCUAGAAAAUUAUUUUGACCACUGAUUAUGCAAUUAUAAAGUUGUAAUUUUGCCCAUAAAUAAUGUUUAAAAUUACAAUAUUGUCAUUGGUCAUCCUAAUCAUGACUCUUCUAUAUAAUAGAAAUAAUAAUAACUAGAUAUCAGGUGCCCGUGCUAACGCAAACGCAACGUAUGUUAGAUUUUUCUUCUUCCAAUUUAUGUGACAAAAAUGAAAUUUGAAAAAAAUGAACUAAAUUUUUUAUAUGUGUUUUUUUUAAAAAUAUUUUAAAUUAUUAAUUUAUGUAUCUUUUUUGUCAUUUUCGAAUAAUAUAUGUUACUUUAUCUAUUUUAUUUUAUAUGAUACAAGUGAUUUUAGGAAAGUAAACGAAAUUUCUUAUAUGAUUUUCAUAUAUUUUUAGUUGUCAUUUUACUGCGAUUCAUAGUACUUUUUAGUUAUUACGUUAUUUUCAAACAAUAUAUGCAACUUUUUUUUUGUUUCAAUAAAAAUAAGGGAGUCAACAAAAUUUCAUUAUGUUUUUUCAACUACAUUUUUCUAAAAAUAUUUUAAAUUGUUACAUUGCUUUUUAAAGUUUUUUUAAAUGUAACUUUCAAAUAUGUAACAAAUUAGAAAUUAAAACGAAGAAUUAAAGUUUUCAAAUCAUUAUAUUUCUAUAUUAGAAUAUUAAAACCUUUAAAACUACAUAUAUAUGCAUAAAUUAGUAGAAGGAAGCCUAACAACUUAUUUUUAAAAAAAUAUAUGAGAGCUCAUUUUAAUAGUAAUACAUACAUAUUUCAUUUUUCAAUAUCCGAAUCCCUCCUUUUCGAUUUAUAUAAAUUUAAUUUAAUUUAAUUUUUAUUUUGUUUCAAAAAGAAAAUAACUUCUGAAUUUUAUUUGUUUAUAAAGCAUAUUUAAGAUCACAAAAUCAAAAAAAAAUUUCAAUUCACAAAAUUUAAAUAUACAUAUAAAUUUUAAUUUUAAUUUUGAUUGGUUCCACCUAAUAUUAUACUUGAUAUAUAAUUAUUAAGAGCUAAGCGUAAUCAUUAUCUAUUUACUUUCGUAUAAUAAAUAGAUAUCACAAUAACUCUUAAAAAAUGAAGAAAUAACGAAAAUGAGGUAAUACUAAUAAUAAUCACUAAAGAUUUUCUAGAACUAGUUAAAUUUCUUGUUAUCAAUCGUGUUAGUUUUUUGCUUGCAUAAAUUACAUUUUUACCUUCGAUCAUCAUUCACUUCAUAUAUAGAAAGAUGUUUCUAGAAUUAUUUAUUCUUGAUAAAUUUUUGUUAGAAUGAAAUUACAUUUUAUUCUUAGUCGUCUUUAAUACAAAGUAUCAUCCUAUUCAUUUUUUAUUUGUCAAGUUACUUUUUAAGAUCUUUUUCUUUAAUUUCAGUCUAAUAUAUAUUAUUAAUUUAUCACACUUAUUUAUUUUCAAGUAUAUUAUUAGAGUCAAAAUAAAGAUGAAAAUAAUUAAUUCAUGAUAACUUUUUAUAUAAAAAGUAGGCAUAUAUUAUAAGCAUAAUGAAUAGAAAAAAAUAUUAAGAAUUAAUUUAAAGUAAUAGUAAAGUAGAGUAAUUAUAAAAUAGAUAUCACAAUAACUCACAAAAGAAAAGAAAGUGAAGUGAUAACAAAAUAAGUUAAUGGUAAUAAUAAUAACUUAAAAUAUUUCUAGAACUAUUAUUUUUAUUUUUUUUUGUUAUCAUUCUUCAUAGAUUUUUGUUAGCAUGAAAUUAUAUUUUUGCUGUAACGACCUAUUUAGUCGUUUGGAGCAGCAGAGUUAAUUUCUGAAAAUCACUGUCUGGGUCGACGGAUCCCACGACAGACCGUCAUGGGCACGACGGACCGUCGAGGGUGUCUCGUGCCAAAACACUUAGAAUUUAGAAAUUUGGGUACUGAGAUCGACUCUCUGAACUUCACGACGAAAUGGCAGGACGGACCGUUGAGGGCUCGACGGACCGUCACAAAUCCUUCCGCAGAAUUAACUCUCUGAACCUUGUGACGGACGUGCAGGACGGACCGUCACAGGCUGCGUGACCCUGACUGGGUCGGAUUUCUGUUAAAUAUUUUAAGGGGCGUUUUGGACUAUUCCUACUUAUAAUUAUAAAGUUAGUGGUUUAAUGUUAAUAAUUUAAUUACUUGGGGGUUAAAAGAGAGAACCUUGAAACAAAUAGUGGGAUAUUUUAUCAUCUUUUAUACUUAAUUAUAUGCUAAUUAGGGUAAAAGAAAGAGGGUUUGAAUAAGAAAAAGAAAAAGAACAGAGAGAGAGGGAGAAACGAUCGAUUGAGAGAGAAGAAGAACGCAGCUUUGGGAAAGUAGAUUGCUUGAUCACAAUCCUUCGGUGGAGGUAGGUUAUGGUUUAUGCUAUUCGUAGUAAACUCUUAAUAGCGAAUGAUAUGUAUUGGGUAGUGUUGUAAACCCUUCUAUAUGCUUAAUUGUAUGCUUGCAUGAAUGUGAUUAUAUAAUUGUGAUAAAAUAAGCAUGAUGAAGCUAUUGAAUCCUAAAUCUUGAAAAUCCUAAUCUACUUUGUUAAUGAUGAUGCCUUGGUAUAAAAGAAGGCUUGAUGAACGAAAGUAGUAAGAUUAGGGGAUCGGAGUGUCACGUUCCGACACCAGGAUAGUAUAUGGAUCGGGUGCCACGUUCCGGUACCAGGAUAGUAUAUGAGGAUCGGAGUGUCACGUUCCGACACCAGGAUAGUAUAUGGAUCGGGUGCCACGUUCCGGUACCAGGAUAGUAUAUGAGGAUCGGAGUGCCACGUUCCGGUACAAGGAUAGUAUAUGAGGAUCGGAGUGUCACGUUCCGACACCAGGAUAGUAUAUGGAUCGGGUGCCACGUUCCGGUACCAGGAUAGUAUGAUGAGGAUCGGAGUGUCACGUUCGGACACCAGGAUAGUAUAUGGAUCGGGGUGUCACGUACCGACACGAGAGAAAUAAAGAUAAUGAAUCUUGAAAGAUGUUAAUAUACUCAAUUUAAUGAACCUAAUUCCCAAAUGAGUAUGAUGGGGAGGCGUGAGUCCUCAUUGAUGUGCUUGGUGUUGUGACCAAGAGUUAUGAUAAUUAUAAAUGCCGCAUGUUGAGUAUUGUAGUUGAUUUUAUGAUAUAUAUCAUAUUAUCUGAUAUAUACUAUUUUCUAUUUUGAGUUGGCCGAUGAUAUCUACUCAGUACUCGUGUUUUGUACUGACCCCUACUUGUAAUUGUUUUUCUUUGUUAUUUGUGGAGUGCAGCAAACGUACCGUCGUCUUCAACUCAACCGCAACUCUAGCCAGUCUUCAUUACACCGGAUUUCAGGGUGAGCUAACGCUUCUAGCUUGGACUGGAUCUUCUUCUUCAUGUCUUGAUGCCUUGAAGUUCCGGCAUGGACUAGCUUUUUAUUUAUUCUAGCUUUCUAGAUACUCUUAGAAUUAGUAAUUUAAGGAUAGAUGUUCUUGUGAUGAUGACUUCCAGAUUUUGGGAAUAAUAAGUAUUGAGUUUUUAGAAGUUAUUUAACCGAUUUUCAUUAAUGAGUUUAAGUCUUCCGCAUUAUAUUCUGUUUAUUAUGGUUCAAAUGUUGGGGUUUAGAUUGGUUGGUUCGCUCACAUAGGAGGGUAAGUGUGGGUGCCACUCGCGGCCCGCUUUGGGUCGUGACAUUUGCCCUUGAUUAUUAUUUACUUCAUAUAUAGAAAGAUGUUUCUAGUAUUAUCAAUUAUCUUGCUUAAUAGAUUUUUGUUAGCGUGAAAUUACAUUUUUGCCCUUAAUCGUCCUCCCACUUCACUCUUCUAUAUAAUUGAAUAGAAAUACAUUAUAUAAAAUAAAUAUUUAUAAAUGAUUAUAAGUUUUCUAUAUCCUUUUUAUAGUGAUUAAUUUACAAUAGGUAAAUGGAUAUGUAUGGGUAAUAAAAUAUAUAUGAGAAUAGUAAUUUAAUUGUGAUAUAUGGCAAAUUCAUCAAAUAGUCAGUCUCUAAUAAUUUAUAUAUUAGUAGUGAAGUAUAAUGUUAAAUUUUAAACGAGGAUUUACAUAACGUGAGAAAGACUUCUUUUCUUUUUUAUUUUCUCAAGAGAUUUUUACAUUUUAAAAUUAGUUUAUAACUUAACAUUAAAUUACUUUAUAUGUAUUUUACUUAUUCAAACUCUCACAUAAUUACUUGUACAUUUGUUUAUUUAUGGUCUUCAUAUAUAACCCCUAGUAUAGCCUUGCUAAACUAAAUUUUGAAAAUUAUUACUAGUAAGGUGUUUGUUUCCUCACCUCAUAUAUUUACAUCAUAUGCAUAAAAAUUAUGUAAAAUGAAUAACAUAUUUUUUUAUUUAUUUUUAAAGAGACUAGUUAUUUGGGGCCGCUAAAGCCUACUUCAAAAUUAGCAAAUCAAAAGAAAGGAAGUGUACCUAUCAACCAAGUAAAAAUGUCAACUACUUCUAAAAAGUUUGGACAAUUUUUAAGACUAUGAAAAUAUAGAGACAUAGUAAAAUAUUGCGUGAAUCACUUAAUAAAAUCGAAAACAUAAUAUAUUGGAGAUAGUUUUACUAAAAAUAAUUUUACAAUAAAAUUGAAAUGUGUACAUAUUUAUUGAAUUGUGGGUAUAGAGACAAUUUUUAAGCUUUUUUCUGAUUUACAUAUAUUAAAUCGCGAAAGAAGUCAUGUGUUCUUAAUAAAAUAAUCGCUAAUGGCAAUUAUAUUUGCUGCUAAAAUUCUUCCUCUAAAUAACUUAAUUUACACUUUUAGCGUUUAAGACGCAAUGUCCAUCUUAAACUAAUAAAUAUGAGAAAUAAAUAAACUCAAUUGGGGGAUAACAAUUUCUUAAUUAGUAUGUUAUAUAUACAUUAUUUCAAUUAUACUUUCGAGUUUUGAUAUUACGAAAAUAUAAUGUCAAACUUUAAAGACAAGAAUUUACAAAUGAGAACGACUUUUUUUUAAAAAUAUAAUGUCAAACUUUAAAGACAAGAAUUUACAAACCAUGAGAACGACUUUUUUUUAAUUAUACGUUUUAUUAUAUAUAUAUAUAUAUAUAUACAUACACACACACAUAUAUAUACAUAUAUCAUUGACUCUAUAUAUAUAAGAUAGGAAAGAGGUUAAAAUAUAUCAUUGAACUUUCAGAAAAAAACUCAUUUAUUCAUCAGUUAAAAGUUUGGCUCAUUUAUGCCAUUACCGUUUAAAAAAGAUUCAUUCUUGCCAUUAUUUUUUAAUAAUGGUUUCGCAAAACCAUUUUUAAUACGUGACCAAUUAUAAUUCGGCUACGUCCUCAAUUUAUUUAAUUAAAAAAUCAUCAUUCUAAAAAAAAUUGAAUUCAUUUUUUUUGAUUUUUUUAUUAAAUAAAUUGAUGACAUGGCUAAUUAGAAUUCAGUGGGAUUUCUUAAAUUUGGGCGGGUCUUUAUUUGAGUGGGGUUUUUAUUUAAUGUUUUCUCAGAAUUGAUUUUUUAUCAAAAAAAAAUAAAAAUGAUGUGGCCGAAUCAUAACUUGUCACGUGUGAAAAGUGGUUGGGCAAAAUCGCCGUUAAAAACUAAUGGCAUGAAUGAGUCUUUUCCUAAAUGGUAAUAACAUGAACGAGUCAAACUUUUAACGGAUGACAUAAAUGAGUCUUUUCUAAAAGUUCAACGGCAUAUUUGAGCUUUUUCACUUAUUAAAAAAGUGGCUUACAUACACUCAUAUUAUUACAUAAAUAUUCUAAAAUAUACCAUUUUGUUCUAACGGGAGUGAAAACAAAUAUUUUUUUAAACAUAAUUUUUUAUUUUUAAGAAGUAAAAUCUGAAUAUAUUAUCUUCCACUUUCCUAGAAAAUAUUAUCCUACAAGAUUUUUUAUUUUUAAAAAUUAAAAUUAAUAUUUUCACUUCCAUUAGAUGAUGAAGAUAUACCUGAAUCACUUUUAUAAUGGUAAGGAUAUGUAUGAACUCUUUUAAUUCAAAUGUGAAUUAUUUUAUAAUGAGCGAUAUAACAAUUUUAAAUUGCAAAGUUAUGAAGACCUUUUUAUUUAGGGAAAAGGGUCUGAUAUACCCCUCAACUUUGUCAUUUAGAGCUGAUAUGCCCCUUGUUGUGAAAGUGGCUCAUAUAUACCCUUACUUGUAAACAAAUGGCUCACAUAUACCCUUUUCCUCUAACGGAAAUGGAAAAAAAAAUAAUUUUAAUCUAAUUUUUUAAUAUUUUUUGUCUAAAAAUUAUAAUCCCAUAUGAGUAAAUUUAAUCCUCGUAAAACAUAUUUUUUUAACCUUUUUUAGUUUCAAUGACUAAUUUAUAAUUAUUAUUUUGAUAAUCAAAUUUAUUUAUGUUUCACUAAUAUUCUUGUAAAACUUAUUGUAGAUAACCAAAUUUUUUCUUCGAAUAUGAAAUUAAAUUACAAUACACACAAAAAAUAGUUUAAAUUUUUUCUCUUUAAACUAAGGAUUGAAAGAAAAAACAUAAGAAUAAGAAACUCAAAUAAUUAUAAUAAAAAAAGUCAAAAAAUAAUUUAUAUAUGAAAAAAAUCAAAAUAUACCUUGAACUUUGAUAGAAGAAUCAUAUAUAUCCCUAAAUAAUUUUUUAAAAAAAAUUACAAGUAAUAAAUAUCAAUUUAAAACUAAUUUUUUAACUUCCGUUAAAUGAAGGGUAUAUAUGAGCCAUUUUGUAACGGGAGGGGUAUAUGUGAGCCGUUUGUAUAACGGUAAGGGCAUAUAUGAGCCACUUUUAUAACGGGGGGUAUAUUAGCUCCAAAUAACAAAGUUGAGGGGUAUAUCAGACUCUUUUUCCUUUUAUUUAUUGUAUAAAAGCAUUUCAUAUACUAGUUACAUAUUUAAAUAUUGAAAAUGUUGAUAAGAGAUCCCAUUAAAUGCUAAAGUAUUGGUAUUUUAAAAAAAUUUCCUUUUAUUUAUUGUAUAUAUCUAACAUCUCGUAACUUCAAAUAACUAAGAAUAAACUAAGAAAUCAAGAAUAAUCAUUUUUGGAAAUAAAUAGGAAAUCUGAAAAAUUUCCCAAGUGUAAAAGUGAGUUUUUGGUCAAUUUCAAACGACCAUAACUCCCAGCUUAGGAGGAGUUAGUGUGAGUUCCUUAUAUGGUUGGAAAUCCCUUGGAAAGAAAUUUCCAACAACGCCAAGUUUGUACAUUUUAGAUGUCGUAUGAAGGAGAUAUGACUUUCGAAAGUUUGGUUGUUGGAGUGAGGAAAAUUCAAUCCGGAUUUAGUAAGGAUAAAGUAGUCUUUUCACCCUAGUAUUUUCUAAUUCGUUUUAAGGGUUUAUUAGGGGUAAAAUCAAGUCCAUAUUCAGUUUUGAAAAAGUUGAGAACGCUCAUGGCUUGGGAGAAAAGAGAAGAGAAGAGAAGAGAAAACCAAAAUUUCUUCAAGAACGCUAAGGUUUCGCUAGAGGAAUUCAUCGGGGGUGAUCUCUAUCGAGGUAUAUGAGAUCUUUCUAUGUUGGGUUCGUUCACCCACACACCAACAUGUUUAUUUAGCAAUUUUUGUAUUGAUUGAAUAAUGAAUCUUGAAGUUCUUGAUGAGCAAUUGUUGAAUCCUUAUUGGUAGAGUUGUAGUGUACCUUUAGUUGGUGUUGAUUCGUAUUUUCAGGCUGUUUUACGAGUCUAAACUAUUGGGUAUUGAGUAUAUUAGUGAUUGAUACGCUCAAACUUACUUUUUAAAUAAGAAGUAAAGCAGUAAAUGGGGGUUUCUAUUCCUAAAUAAAUGAAAAUAACUAGCGAAAUUAAAGGAGACAACUAACAACUUCGAAUGUUGGAGUUUAAUCACUUAAUCAAAGUAACUAGGGUUUACGUGUUCCCCACAGGUUCAUAACUUGAUAAUUCUAACUAUAACAAUUCUUUCCUAGUAUCUUGCAUGCAAAGUGAUAAGUUAUGUAUUUCUAAAUCCUUGGUCCGGCAUCUAGAAAAUUUCACUCGGCACCUUGGUCCGACUACGUGUGUUGCUAUACUAACCCUUAUAUUUACCUCAUAUUAAGCAUCGUAUUCGAUAUUUGACUAAGUUAUUACCCCGUACCAAUCAAUACUAGCCUAUUAGAUAGUAUACACUAAAUUUAUAUUGAUAAUUCUUUUCCUAUUAUCUACCUCCUUGGUCCGACAAGUAGCAUUAAGGCGAGUUCUAACGUUGGCCAUCCGUUAAAAAGACUUCCAAGCGAAAGAAUUAUCAAUACAUGCAAGACACUAUUCUAGAAUUGUUAUUUUAGUUAGAUUUUACCUCAUUAUUCGCCUAUGGUUCCCACAACCCUAAUUAUGGAGUUUAGUUACCCAUAAUCAUAAUCACAAUAUUCAAAUAUAUGAUAUAAGAAUUCAUGCACUUACUUCAAUGAGAAAGAGUAAAAUCCAAAAGUUAGCUUGAUUAAUCAACAAUCAAUUACAAGAAUAUCAAAAUAAUCAAGAAUCUCACAAAAAGUCUAAAAAAUAAUCAAGAGUCUAACAAUAAUCAAGGGCCUAACCAAAUAAUCCAGAGUCUAACCUCAAAAACGAGGUUUUUCAAACUAUUUAUAAAAAAUAAAAACCUAAUUACAUAAGGACUCUAUUUGCUGGAAAUCUGUCAAAACGCGGCUGGGUCAACGGACCUCGCGACGCAUCGUCGUGGUCACGACGGACCGUCAUGGACUCCGUCGUCCCAUACUUGAUGCAAUUUCUUAUGCUGCUCUCUUCAUUACUCUCGACAGCAGGUAUGAUGGAUCGUUACAGGCACAACGAUCCGUCGAGGGUCUCCGUUCCAAAACACUUGAACUCUUGGAAUAUGGGUACUGGGACUACUUCUCUGAACUUCAUGACGAACCUGCAGGACGGACCGUCAUGGAUACGACGGUCCGUCACGCAUUUUGUAACCCCACACUUGGUCAGACUUCCCCAUUUUCCUUCAGCAGCUGCACUACGUUGCCACCUACGGACCGUCACGAGCAUGACGGACCGUCACAAGCAUGACGGACCGUCACAAGCAUGACGGACCGUCACAAGCUCCGUAGGUGGUCUCUUCUGCAUUUCUUUGCUCAAAAACCUCCGCAUUCAUCUUUGGAUAGAUUUCCUGCAAAUAAGGAGAAACUUAUAUAAAAAUUAGCACAAAAAGAUUUUGGACACACUAACUUAAGGAAAAAAUAUUAAUAAUACCGUGACACCAUAGUAUAUCAGUGAUCCUAAGUGUUUGGGAAAAAUCCAUGAAUGUUUUGAAGGUUUAGAGUUGAAAAUCGGAGAAGAAAAGUCAGAAAACUCGUCUGACAGGUCUUGUGGCACCGUGCCUACAAGAGCCCCUCAGGACAGACUCUUUCUGUCAGGCUCUGGCGCGCCGCCGUGCCAGCUAGAGCGCCUGAAGACAGUGUCUGUCGGUCAGGCGCUGGUGCCCCGCGCCUCUCAGAGCGCCAGGGUCACCUGGAGAUUCUAUUUCUCUCCCAUCUUUUAGUACGAGUUCCUAAGUGACGUAUCUAUUAUUUCUAGUUAGUUCCAAUACUCUAAAGUAAAUAUAAACAUUAUGAAAUCAUCCAUAAUAAUGAGAUCAGGAUCCGUGAAUGCAUAAUCCAAUUCAAGGGAAGUUAAGAUCAAAGUCAAAAAAAGUUAAGAGUCAAGUCUAAAAGUUAAAAAACAAGUCAAAGUAAGUUCCUAAAGCAUUCAAGAGUCUUAAACAAACAUUUUAACUUUGUUUUAAGGUUCAAGCAAUGAGUUGAGCAAAGAGUAAAAGAGUUGAGUUAAAUUUUCAAAAGCUAUAAGGGAACUAAGUAUUCCCUAAGAGUUAAGUUUCAAGUUAAGCAAAUAGUAACAAGUUGAGUUCACUUCUCAAGAGUUAGAAGGGAACUAAGUAGUCUCUAACAGUUUAAACAAGAUGUUUUUAAACUUUUGAGAAAGAAAGGAAGCUAGACUUCCACAGAGCCUAUGACUAGUUUUAGUAAAAGAAAAAGGAAACUAUGAUUUCUAAGAAAGUUUUUGAAGCAAAGUUUGAGAAAUUAUCUCAAACUAGAGAAGAAGUUGUUUUAAAAAAACAUAUGAGCUAAGUAUUUUGGGAGUAGUAUUGAGCACCGAUAUGGUGACGCGAGUUCAUAUUAACUCAAGUCUCCAUAAACCAUUGAGCCAACAUGGAGAUAUAAAAGAUCAUACUUUUUAGAUGAUUCCUUAGUAAUUUUAGCAUAGACUAGUGAAUCCUCUUAGUAGUUCAGGUUCUAUAUCGACGACAAGGUAUAGAGUGGUCCUCUUGCAACAUGAGGUAAUACGUUGUACCAUCACUUAGGCUCAUAGAUGGUUGUCGGUUAGAUAAUCUCUCAAAGAAAUUAUAAUACUUUCAAAUAUAUGAGUAAAGUUGAGUUUAUUAUUGAUUUAUCUUUAAUGAACUAAGUGUUUACACUGUUUUACAAGCUUUUCUUAUAUCGCAUGUGUCCUUACUGCUUUAUAUUGAGUCGUUAUUUCAUGAGUUGAGCAGAACCAAGGUAAGUUCUUCCUUACUCCUUUCAAGCCUUAUAGUAGUGUUUAGUAUUCCAAUUCGCAUACUCGUUUGGCCUGCAUGCAUCGCCUUAUAAUGCAGAAGCAGGUAAUUAGGAUCAACAUGCAGCACUUUGUUGAACCAGUUUGAGCUCUAGAGUCAGUGGUGAGCCUCCAUGCAUUUCGGAGGAUCCUUUUAUUGCUAUCUAGUUAGUUCAAUAGAAUGUUGUGGGGUUUGUCCCAACAUUCAUCUCAGUCAGUUUAGAGGUUUCAUAGACGGAUAGUAGUAGUUAAGUUGUGUCUCUUUAUUUCAGAUUCUAUAUUUGAGACUUAAGUGCAAAUUUGGCCAAGACAGUAUUUAAAGUCAUUUUUAUGAGAACUUCUUCAAUUCUAUAACUGAAUUAAGUUGAGUCUUCCGCUGAGUUAAGUAAGUCAGACCAAGAGUUCCCUUGAGGCCAGCAAUGGUCACCAAGUGCUAGUCCCACCCAGGGUAUAAGCUCGGAGCAUGCUAAUAUAUGCAUUUCAUAUACGACUUACGUAUUCAGAUACUUUUAACAUUUUGUUAGAGCAGAAGAGUCUUAACUUAUAUAUGUAGGUGAAGUAUUGAUAUAUUGGGAUAUUGGUACUUAUUAUUAUUUUACUUUAAUACUUAUUUAUAAGUCUACAACACACGGUAAGCACACACAAGGUGCUCAACAUGUGUGCUUGAAGUAAAUUUAAUUUUGAAUGAGGUUAAUUUGGUCAUUUUAUAUAAUACUCAAUGUUUCUUUUACUUGUACAAAAUGCAAAAUUGCUUUUAUGGACAUCAAAUGACCAAAAACCCAGUAUCCUUUAACUCAUUGUCAUAUGUUAUAGAACAUUGCAAUUGGUUGAAAAUGAACUUUAAUGUAGUUGCAAUAUAAUUAUUUUUACUUCUUGUCAAAACUGCCCCUAUGCGGCUUAAGCUUAUUUUAUCAACUAUUUGUUAUUACGUGGAGAAAUUAAAGACAUCUUUAGAUGAGUCCUUUUAAGCGGUACCGACCUAGAUAUAUAUAUUCUUUUCGUUUUAUUUAUGUCAUUUUUACUAAAAAUAGGUAAUAUUUAAUAUUUAUCAUUUCACAAAAGUAAUGCAUUAUAUAGUAAUGAAAUCGACUCUCUGAACUCUGUGACGGACCGUCACAGGUACGACGAACCGUCGUGAGCCCCCGUUUCAAAACACUUCAACUCUUGAGAAUUUGGUACAGGGAACGAUUCUCUGAACGUCAUGACGGAGGUGCAGGACGGACCGUCGUAGGUACGAUGGGCUGUCACAGACUCCUUAAGGAAAUCGAGUCUUUGACGAACCUGCAUGACGGACCGUCGCAGGCACGACGGGCCGUCGCAGGUUGCGCAAUCCCAGUCUGGGUCAGAUUUCUUUACACAUUUUAAGGGACGUUUUUGACUAUUCCUUCUUUAAUUAUAAAGUUAGUGGGUUAAUGUUAAUAAGUCUAAUUACUUGGGGGUUAAAAGAGGUAACCUCAAGUUAAUUAGUGGGUUAUUAUUGCCAUCUUUCAUUCUUAAUUAUAUACUAAUUAGGGUAAAAGAAAGAGGGUUUGAAUAAAGAAAAUAGAAAGAACACAAAGAGAGAGAGGGAGAAUCGAACGAGAAGGUGAAAAGAAGAGGAGAAACACAAAGCUUUGGGAAAUUGCUUGCUUGAUUUCUUGUCUUCGGUGGAGGUAGGUUUUGGUUUUCAUGCUAUUCGUAGUAAACUCUUAAUAGCGAAUGAUAUGUGUUAGUAGUAUUGUAAACCCUUCUAUAUGCUUAAUUGUAUGCUUGCAUGAAUGAUGUGAUUAUGGAAUUAUGAAUAAAUAAGCAUGAUGAAGUUAUUGAAUCCCAAAUCUUGAAAAGAAACCUUAAUCUACUUUGUUAAUGAUGAUGCCUUGGUAUAAAAGAAGGCUUGAUGAACGAAAGGGGUGAGAUUAGGGGAUCGAGUGCCACAUUCUGGUACCAGUAUAGAGAUAGAGGAUCGGGUGCCACGUUCCGGUACCAGGAUAGAAUGAGGAUCGAAGUGUCACGUUCCGACACCAGGAUAGUAUAUGGAUCGGGUGCCACGUUCCGGUACCAGGAUAGAAUGAGGAUCGGAGUGUCACGUUCCGACACCAGGAUAGUAUAUGGAUCGGGUGCCACGUUCCGGUACCAGGAUAGAAUGAGGAUCGGAGUGUCACGUUCCGACACCAGGAUAGUAUAUGGAUCGGAGUGUCACGUACCGACACGAGGGGAAUAAAUAUAAUGAAUCUUGUAAGAUGCUAAUAUACUCAAUUUAAUGAAACUAAUUCCCAAAUGAGUAUGAUAUUGAGGCUUGAGUCCUCACGUGUGAACUUGACGGUAUUUGUUAAUGAUAUAGUACUUGUUGUUGCUACAUGUUGAGUAUCAUAGUUGAUUUUAUGAUAUUGCUUAAUAUAUAUUGUUUUCUAAUUUCGAGUUGACCGAUGAUAUCUACUCAGUACCCGUGUUUUGUACUGACCCCUACUUUUGUGUUUUCUUCUUUGUUAUUUGUGGAGUGCAGCAAACAUGCCGUCGUCUUCGACUCAACAGUAUUCAAGCCAGUCUUUACUACACCGGAAAUUCAGGGUGAGCUAAUGCUUCUAGCUUGGACUGGAUCUUCUUCUUCAAGUCUUGAUGCCUUGAACUUCCGGCAUGGACUAGCUUCUUAUGUAUUUUUAGCUUCUUAGACAUUUUUAGUUAGUAAUUUGAUCAUAGAUGUUCUUGUGAUGAUGACUUCCAGAUUUUGGGGAAUAAUAGUUAUUGAAUUGGUUUUUAUUUAAUGAGCUUAAGUCUUCCGCAUUAUUUUCUAUUGAUAUACGUUGAAAUGAUAAGGUUUAGAUUGGUUGGUUCGCUCACAUAGGAGGGUAAAUGUGGGUGCCAGUCGCGGCUCGGUUUUGGGUCGUGACAAACCUUGUAUCAGAGCAUUAGGUUCGUUGGUCUCAUCACACAAGAACGAGUCUAGUAGAGUCUUAAGGAACGGUAGGGGGGCGCCUUUACUUUUCUUUGAGGGGCUAUAAGACUUUAGGAAAUUCCAUUCUUUCUUAUCUCUUUCGUGAUACUACUUGAAUCCAAUUGGUAUCUAGGUGAUUCAAAUUGGUAUCUGACCAUCUUCACUCUAUUUCGCAGAUGGUUAGAACUAGAUCAACGACUGCGCCAACACCAACACCGGCAAGACAAGAAACGUCUGAGCCAGCCACUGGGGCUGUGGCUCAAGGAAGAGCAAUAGCAAGAGGUCGUGGUAGAGUUCGUGGGAGGACGUCCUCUAGAGGGAGAGGACGAGUACCUAGCCCAUCUGAUGCUAGGGCGGUGACUCCUCCACCGACUGAGGAAGUAGUAAGAGAGGGUGAGGAAGGGGAGAAUGAACAAGUGCAAAAUGAUGAAUUGCCACCCCAACCUACCCCAGAGAUGAUCAAUCAGGUUCUCGCUUAUCUUAGUGGGUUAUCUGAUUAGGGCCAGACACCUCCAGUGUUUUCUGCACCAGUACCUCAGGUUCCGGAGGUACAACAUGCGGCUACUAUGGCUCCUCGUAUGGAUGCCUCAUUGGACAUAGGCACGUUUCCACGUCUGACUACUGGGCCUAUAAUGACAAAUGAUCAGCAUGAACUUUUCAGUAAGUUCUUGAAAUUGAAACCCCCAGUCUUCAAGGGUGCUGAAUCUGAGAAUGCUUACGAUUUUCUGGUUGACUGUCAUGAGCUACUACACAAGAUGGGUAUAGUAGAACGGUUUGGUGUUGAGUUCGUGAGUUAUCAGUUUCAAGGGAACGCCAAAAUGUGGUGGCGGUCACAUGUUGAGUGUCAACCAACAGAGGCACCACCUAUGACUUGGGCCUCAUUCUCUAGCUUGUUUAUGGAGAAGUGUGUCAACCAACAGAGGCACCACCUAUGACUUGGGCCUCAUUCUCUAGCUUGUUUAUGGAGAAGUAUAUCCCCCAGACUUUGAGGGAUAGGAAAAGGGAUGAGUUCUUGAGCCUAGAUCAAGGUAGGAUGUCGGUUAAUGCAUAUGAGGCUAGGUUUCGCGCACUAUCCAGGUAUGCCACUCAACUUUGUUUCAGUCUACAAGAGCGGAUUCGCCGGUUUGUGAAGGGGUUGAGGUCAGAGUUGCGGAUUUCGGCCUUACAGGUAGCGGCUACGGCAAAAUCCUUCCUAGAAGUGGUAGACUUCGUGAUAGAGGUGGAAGGAGUGAAGCCCAAUGACUUCACCUCGACAUCGACAUCAAAAAGGUUUCGAAAGGGAGGUGAGUUUAAUGGUUCUUACCCUAGGGGAUAGGGUUUCGGAGGUUACUCAGUCCGACCGAUUCAGUCUUCACUACAGACUGUAGUUGGGGGUCCACCUCAGACCGGUCAAAACUUCCUUGAGAGACCUAUGCAUGAACCAAGAAAGUGCUAUGGAUGUGGGGAGAUUGGAAAUAUUAAGAGAUAUUGUCCAAAACAGAGUUACCGACCCCCAAUAGCUAGAGGUAGAGGUGGUUAUGGAAGAAGUCGUCAUUCUGGAGGACGCGGUGGUCGAGGUAAUGGUGGUCACCAAAACGGCCGGGGUGAUGGGCAAACUGGAGCCACUACAUCACAACAUGGUAGGGGCAAUAGACAGACAAGUAAUGGGGCUCAUUGCUACGCUUUUCCUGGGAGAUCUGAAACGGAGACAUCAGAUGCUGUCAUCACAGGUAAUCUUUUAAUUUGUGAUUGCAUGGCUUCUAUAUUGUUUGAUCCUGGAUCCACAUUUUCUUAUGUAUCUUCCUCAUUUGCUAAUGGUCUAAAUUUACGUUGUGAAUUACUUGACAUGCCUAUUCAUGUUUCUACUCCGGUGGGUGAGUCUGUGGUAGUUGAAAAGGUAUAUAGGUCUUGUUUGGUGAACUUUGUGGGGAGCAACAGUUAUGUAGAUUUGGUUAUCUUAGAAAUGGUUGAUUUUGAUGUAAUUCUGGGUAUGACUUGGCUUUCUCCGCAAUUUGCGAUCUUGAUUGUAAUGCUAAAACGGUGACGUUAGCCAAGCCUGGGACAGAUCCGUUAGUGUGGGAGGGUGACUACACUUCCAAUCCGGUGUGUAUCAUCUCCUUUCUUCGUGCUAAGAAAAUAGUUAGUAAAGGGUGUUUGGCUUUCUUGGCACAUCUCAAGGAUGACACUACCCAAGUACCCUCGAUUGAGUCAGUUUCGGUAGUCCGUGAGUUUUUGGAUGUGUUCCCUGCAGAUCUUCCUGGUAUGCCACCGGAUAGGGAUAUUGACUUCUGUAUUGAUCUUGAACCGGGUACUCGCCCCAUUUCUAUACCCCCUUAUAGAAUGGCUCCCGCCGAAUUGAGAGAGUUAAAGGCCCAACUUCAAGAGUUGUUGAGCAAAGGUUUCAUUAGACCAAGUGCAUCUCCUUGGGGUGCUCCGGUUUUGUUUGUAAAGACGAAGGAUGGGAGUUUUCGGAUAUGCAUAGACUACCGGCAGUUGAACAAGGUAACCAUAAAGAACAAGUAUCCUCUUCCUCGCAUUGAUGACUUGUUCGAUCAGUUACAAGGUGCUCGUGUCUUCUCUAAGAUUGACUUGAGAUCCGGUUAUCAUCAAUUGAAAAUACGGGCAACGGAUGUGCCAAAGACUGCUUUUAGAAUCAGGUAUGGGCAUUACUAAUUUGUAGUGAUGUCUUUUGGUCUUACGAAUGCCCCUACUGCGUUCAUGAGUUUGAUGAACGGGAUUUUUAAGCAAUAUUUGGAUCUCUUUGUGAUCGUAUUUAUUGAUGAUAUACUGAUAUACUCAAAGAGCAAGAAGGAACAUGAAGAGCAUUUGAGAAUGGUAUUGGAAAUGUUGAGGGAGAAAAAUCUUUAUGCCAAGUUCUCUAAGUGUGAGUUUUGGCUAGAUGCAGUGUCCUUCUUGGGGCAUUUAGUUUCUAAGGAGGGAGUGAUAGUGGAUCCUUCCAAGAUUGAGACAGUGAAGAAUUGGGUAAGACCUACUAAUGUGUCAGAAAUAAGGAGCUUUGUUGGGUUAGCUAGCUACUACCACCGAUUCGUCAAGGGAUUCUCUUCUAUUGCUUCCCAACUGACGAACUGCAAAAUGUUCCAUUUGUAUGGUCGGAUGAGUGUGAGGAAAGCUUUCAGAAGCUCAAGACUCUGUUGACUACUGCACUAAUUCUCACCUUGCCAGUGGAAGGUAGGAAUUUUAUUGUCUAUUGUGAUGCAUCCUAUUCGGGUUUGGGUGCAGUGCUAAUGCAAGAGAAGAAUGUGAUUGCUUAUGCUUCGAGGCAAUUAAAAGUGCAUGAACAUAACUAUCCAACUCAUGAUUUGGAAUUGGCUGCGGUAGUGUUUGCAUUAAAGCAAUGGAGACACUAUUUAUAUGGGGUUAAGUGUGAGGUCUACACGGAUCAUCGUAGCCUUCAGUAUGUCUUUACUCAGAAAGAUUUGAACUUGAGACAGAGGAGAUGGAUGGAGCUACUAAAGGACUAUGAUAUCACUAUCUUGUAUCAUCCGGGGAAGGCGAAUGUUGUAGCGGAUGCUUUAAGUAGAAAGGCGGGAAGCAUGGGAAGUCUAGCCCACUUGCAAGCUUCUAGACGCCCAUUGGCUAGAGAAGUUCAGAUUCUGGCUAACGACCUUAUGAGAUUAGAAGUAAAUGAGAAGGGAGGAUUUUUUGCUUGUGUGGAGGCAAGAUCUUCCUUCCUUGACAAGAUUAAGGGAAAACAGUUUGAUGAUGAGAAACUAAGCAGAAUCCAAGAUAAGGUGUUGCGAGGAGAGGCUAAGGAAGCACAAAUCGAUGAGGAAGGUGUUUUGAGUAUUAAGGGAAGGGUAUGUGUACCCCGCGUCGAUGAUUUGAUCAACACUAUUCUGACAGAGGCUCAUAGUUCAAGGUAUUCGAUACAUCCGGGUGCAACAAAGAUGUACUGUGACCUAAAGCAACACUUUUGGUGGAGUAGAAUGAAGCGUGAUAUUGUGGAUUUUAUUGUCAAAUGUCCAAACUGUCAACAAGUAAAGUAUGAACACCAAAGGCCCGGAGGAACACUUCAGAGAAUGUCCAUUCCUGAAUGGAAGUGGGAAAGGAUUGCAAUGGAUUUCGUGGUUGGUCUUCCAAGGACAUUGGGAAAGUUUGAUUCUAUUUGGGUAAUUGUUGAUAGGUUAACUAAGUAUGCUCAUUUCAUUCCAGUUAAGGUGACUUACAAUGCCGAGAGGUUAGCCAAGAUCUAUAUCUCAGAAAUCGUUCGAUUGCAUGGGGUUCCACUAUCCAUCAUAUCAGAUAGAGGUACGCAAUUUACUUCUAAGUUUUGGAAAACAUUGCAUGCGGAAUUGGGUACUAGGUUGGACCUUAGUACUGCGUUCCAUCCUCAGACCGAUGGUCAGUCUGAGCGAACGAUUCAAGUGUUGGAGGAUAUGCUUCGUGCAUGUGUGAUAGAAUUUGGUGGUCAGUGGGAUAGCUUCUUACCCUUAGCAGAGGUCUCCUACAACAAUAGCUAUCACUCAAGUAUUGAUAUGGCUCCAUUUGAAGCAUUGUAUGGUAGGAGGUGUAGGUCCCCCAUUGGUUGGUUUGAUGCAUUUGAAGUUAGACCUUGGGGUACUGACCUUUUGAGGGAUUCAUUAGAGAAAAUGAAAUCUAUUCAAGAAAAGCUUCUAGCGGCGCAAAGUGGUGAUGCGGUUUGGUAAGCAAGGUAAACUUAGCCCAAGGUAUAUUGGCCCAUUUGAAGUACUCAAGCGAAUAGGGGAGGUGGCUUAUGAGUUAGCCUUGCCUCCAAGGCUGUCCGGAGUACAUCCGGUAUUCCAUGUGUCGAUGUUGAAAAGAUACCCUGGGGAUGGAAACUACAUUAUCCGUUGGGAUUCAGUUUUGCUUGAUGAAAAUUUGACUUAUGAGGAGGAGCCUGUUGCCAUUUUAGAUAGAGAAAUUCGCAAGUGGAGAUCAAGGGAGAUUGUAUCCAUCAAAGUUCAAUAGAAGAAUCGACCAGUCGAAGAAGCCACUUGGGAGAAAGAGGCUGAUAUGCGAGAAAGAUACCCACACCUUUUACAGAUUCAGGUACUCCUUUUCGCCCUUGUUUUCCUUCUUGUGAUCGUUCGGGGACGAACGAUGGGUAAAUUGGUAUCUAUUGUAACGACCUGUUUAGUCAUUUUGAGCAGCAGACUUCAAUUCUGGAAAAACUGGCAAAAACGACUGACCCCACGACGGACCGUCAUGGGCACGACGGACCGUCGAGGGGGUCUCGUUCCAUAACACUUAGAAAAUAGAAAAUUGGGUACUGAAAUCGACUCUCUGAACUCUGUGACGGACCUGUAGGACGAACCGUCACAGGUACGACGAACCGUCGUGAGCCCCCGUUUCAAAACACUUCAACUCUUGAGAAUUUGGUACAGGGAACGAUUCUCUGAACGUCGUGACGGAGGUGCAGGACGGACCGUCGUAGGUACGAUGGGCCGUCACAGACUCUUUAAGGAAAUCGAGUAUCUGACGAACCUGCAUGACGGACCGUCGCAGGCACGACGGGCCAUCGCAGGUUGCGCAAUCCCAGUCUGGGUCGGAUUUCUUUACACGUUUUAAGGGACGUUUUUGACUAUUCCUGCUUUAAUUAUAAAGUUAGUGGGUUAAUGUUAAUAAGUCUAAUUACUUGGGGGUUAAAAGAGGUAACCUCAAGUUAAUUAAUGGGUUAUUAUUGCCAUCUUUCAUUCUUAAUUAUAUACUAAUUAGGGUAAAAGAAAGAGGGUUUGAAUAAAGAAAAUAGAAAGAACACAAAGAGAGAGAGGGAGAAUCGAACGAGAAGGUGAAAAGAAGAGGAGAAACACAAAGCUUUGGGAAAUUGCUUGCUUGAUUUCUAGUCUUCGGUGGAGGUAGCUUAUGGUUUCAUGCUAUUCGUAGUAAACUCUUAAUAGCGAAUGAUAUGUGUUAGUAGUAUUGUAAACCCUUCUAUAUGCUUAAUUGUAUGCUUGCAUGAAUGAUGUGAUUAUGUAAUUAUGAAUAAAUAAGCAUGAUGAAGUUAUUGAAUCCCAAAUCUUGAAAAGAAACCCUAAUCUACUUUGUUAAUGAUGAUGCCUUGGUAUAAAAGAAGGCUUGAUGAACGAAAGGGGUGAGAUUAGGGGAUCGGGUGCCACGUUUCGGUACCAGGAUAGAGAUAGAGGAUCGGGUGCCACGUUCCGGUACCAGGAUAGAAUGAGUAUCGGAGUGUCACGUUCCGACACCAGGAUAGUAUAUGGAUCGGGUGCCACGUUCCGGUACCAGGAUAGAAUGAGGAUCGGAGUGUCACGUUCCGACACCGGGAUAGUAUAUGGAUCGGGUGCCACGUUCCGGUACCAGGAUAGAAUGAGGAUCGGAGUGUCACGUUCCGACACCAGGAUAGUAUAUGGAUCGGAGUGUCACGUACCGACACGAGGGGAAUAAAUAUAAUGAAUCUUGUAAGAUGCUAAUAUACUCAAUUUAAUGAAACUAAUUCCCAAAUGAGUAUGGUAUUGAGGCUUGAGUCCUCACGUGUGAACUUGACGGUAUUUGUUAAUGAUAUAGUACUUGUUGUUGUUACAUGUUGAGUAUCAUAGUUGAUUUUAUGAUAUUGCUUAAUAUAUAUUGUUUUCUAUUUCGAGUUGGCCGAUGAUAUCUACUCAGUACCCGUGUUUUGUACUGACCCCUACUUUUAUGUUUUCUUCUUUGUUAUUUGUGGAGUGCAGCAAACGUGCCGUCGUCUUCGACUCAACAGUAAUUCAAGCCAGUCUUUACUACACCGGAAAUUCAGGGUGAGCUAAUGCUUCUAGCUUGGACUGGAUCUUCUUCUUCAAGUCUUGAUGCCUUGAACUUCCGGCAUGGACUAGCUUCUUAUGUAUUUUUAGCUUCUUAGACAUUUUUAGUUAGUAAUUUGAUCAUAGAUGUUCUUGUGAUGAUGACUUCCAGAUUUUGGGGAAUAAUAGUUAUUGAAUUGGUUUUUAUUUAAUGAGCUUAAGUCUUCCGCAUUAUUUUCUGUUGAUAUACGUUGAAAUGAUAAGGUUUAGAUUGGUUGAUUCACUUACAUAGGAGAGUAAAUGUGGGUGCCAGUCGCGGCUCGGUUUUGGGUCGUGACAGCAUAGAAAGCUAAGUAACUAAUUCAUACUUAUUGGUCAAAUUAAAUAGUCAAAAUAAAUAAAUUCAUGUUUAUUGAUUGAAAACUUGACUUCAAAAAAACAGUAAGAAUAGAAUAAAAUUUGCUUAAUUUCGUAAUACACAUAAAAUCUAAAAUAGUGACAUAUAAAUAUGAUCGGAGAGAGUAUAAGUUAAUUCUCUAUUUGUAUCAUACAAAUAGAGAAUCAAGAUUUUAUUAAUGAUUUUUCUUUUAUUUUUUGAUGUAAAGCGCAGUCAAGGCAGCGAUUUCACUUUAAUUUUUUUUAAUUUUCUUACAUAAAUCGCUGGCAAUUUCUCCAAUCUUUUUGUAAAUUUUUUUUAAUUGUGUCGUAAAGCGCUGCAAUUGCAGCGAUAUUUUUUUGCUAAAAAAAUCAAUAUUGUAAAUCGUCUAUGCAUGACUUUAUUGAUUUUUCUUUUUUUUUUGAACAAAUUUUUAGUGGAUUUUUUUAUAAAAUUGAAACUUCUUUUUUAACGUAAGAAAAUUAAAAAAAAUUAAACUGUAAUCGCUGCCUUGGCAGGGAUUUGUUGUAAAAAAAAUUUAUUUUAAAAAAGUGAAUUGUACAAAUUGGUGCUAUAGCAGCGAUUUUCCUUAGCGUCGGCAAACAAAAUCACUACAUCCUAAGCGAUUUUAUCGUUUUGGUUAUAAAAAAAUUCAUAUACCUGUAACGACCUGUUUAGUCGUUUUGAGCAGCAGAUUUUAUUCUGGAAAAACAGGCUGAGGCGACGGACCCAACGACGGACCAUCAUGGGCACGACGGACCGUCGCAGGGUCUCGUUUGAAAACACUUAGAAAAACUGAAAAUUGGAUACUGAAAAUCGACUCUUUGAACUUCGUAACGAAAUGGCAGGACGGACCGUCACAGGUAUGACGGACCGUCACAGACCAUUGGUGGAAAUUUGGGUCUCUGAACUUUGCGACGACCUGCAGGACGGACCGUCGCAGGCACGACGGCCCGUCACAGGUUGCGCAAUCCCAGUCCGGGUCGGAUUUCUUGAUACGUUUUAAGGGACGUUUUUGACUAUUCUUGCCUUAAUUAUAAAGUUAGUGGGUUAAUGUUAAUAAGUCUAAUUACUUGGGGGUUAAAAGAGGUAACCUUAAGUUAAUUAGUGGGGCAUUAUUGCCAUCUUUUAUUCUUAAUUAUAUGUUAAUUAGGGUAAAAGGAAGAGGGUUUUGAAUAAAGAAAAUAGAAAGAACAAGAGAAAGAGAGACAGAGAGUCGAACGAGAAAGAAGAGAAACAAAGCUUGGAGAAAAAUUUGCUUGCUUGAUCACUAAUCUUCGGUGGAGGUAGGUUAUGGUUUCUCUUACGAUAUUCGUAGUAAACUCUUAAUAGAGAAUGAUAUGUAUUGAUAAUAUUGUAAACCCUGCUAUGUGCUUAAUUGUAUGCUUGCAUGAAUGUAAUUAUAUAAUUGUGAUUAUAUAAGCAUGAUGAAGUUAUUGAAUCCCAAAUCUUGCAAAAUCCUAAUCUCUUUGUUAAUAAUGAGGCCUUGGUAUAAAAGAAGGCGUGAUGAACUAAAAUAAUGGGAUUGAUGAUGCCUUGGUAAGAAAGAAGGCUUGAUGAAUUGAUGGAAGGAGAUUAGGGGAUCGGGUGUCACGAACCGACACGUAGAAUUAGGGGAUCGGGUGUCACGAACCGACACGUAGUAUUAGGGGAUCGGAUGUCACGAACCGACACGUAGUAUUAUGAGAUCGGGUGUCACGAACCGACACGUAGUAUUAGGGGAUCGGGUGUCACGAACCGACACGUAGUAUUAGGGGAUCGGGUGUCACGAACCGACACGUAGAUUUAGGGGAUCGGGUGUCACGAACUGACACAUAGAUUUAGGGGAUCGGGUGUCACGAACCGACACAUAGAUUUAGGGGAUCGGAGUGUCACGUACCGACACAAGAGGAUUAAUGAAUAUUGAGGGAGCGGAGUGUCACGUACCGACACAAGAGAAAUAAAGAUAAUGAAUCUUGAAAGAUAUUAAUAUACUCAAUCUAAUGAACAUGAUUCCCAAAUGAGUAUGGUAUUGAGGCUUGAGUCCUCAUGUGUGAACUUGACGGUAAUUGUUAAUGAUAUAGUAUUUGUUGUUGCUACAUGUUGAGUAUCAUAGUUGAUUUUAUGAUAUUACUUGGUAUAUAUUGAUUUCUAUUUUGAGUUGGCCGAUGAUAUCUACUCAGUACCCGUGUUUUGUACUGACCCCUACUUUUAUAUUUUCUUCUUGUUUAUUUGUGGAGUGCAGCAAACGUGCCAUCGUCUUCAACUCAACAGUAAUUCAAGCCAGUCUUACUACAUCGGAAAUUCAGGGUGAGCUAAUGCUUCUAGCUUGGACUGGAUCUUCUUCUUCAAGUCUUGAUGCCUUGAACUUCCGGCAUGGACUAGCUUCUUAUGUAUUUUUAGCUUUUAGAACACUCUUAGUUUAGUCAUUUGAUCGUAGAUGUUCUUGUGAUGAUGACUUCCAGAUUUUGGGGAAUAAUAGAUGUUGAAUUUUAGAAGUUAAUGAAUUGGUCUUUAUUUAAUGAGUUUAAGUCUUCCGCAUUACUUUCUGUUGAUAUUAUAUUGAAAUGUUAAGGUCAGAUUGGUUGGUUCACUCACAUAGAAGGGUAAGUGUGGGUGCCAGUCGCAACCCGGUUUGGGUCGUGACAAUACCUUUUUGAAAUUUUUGUUAAUAUUUUUCACCCUUUAGCCUCUGUACUUGCAUGAAUUACAAUAUUCUUCCUAUUUUACUCUUGUGAAUAAUUAGCUUUGAAAGUAUAUGUUUGAUCAACCUAGAAAAACUAAGUGAAUAGUUUAUGUUCAUUAAUUCAAUUAAUUAAUAAAAAUAAAUUAAUUAAUAUUUUCUUGACAAAUUCCUAUUUGAUUUUUUAAUUUAAUUCAAAAUUUUCAAGUUCCAUGUUUCACUCUUUUCUUGACGAGUUUUGUAAUAAACUAUGUACAAGAAAAGCUGUAGCUAUAAAGAAAUCAACGUAGUACAAAAUUGAAAAUUGUAUUUCAUUAAGUAAAAAAAUAGAAGGGCUUAACAACAAAACAAACUAAUUAAAUUUUAACUUAAACCCCCUGAAAUAAUAAUAAUAAUAAUAAUAAUAAUAAUAAAACAAUACUACAACAAGAAUCAUCAACCACAUACAUAAUAAGAGAGAAUAGACAAACAAAAAUUUGGAUACAACGAUGAAAUAACUAUAGAUAAUACAAAUUUGGAUAUUCAUUAAACUAUAUAUAGUGAAUAUCCUGAUACUAUAUUGCCUAAUUCUCGUUUCUAGGUACAUCAUCCAUGACAAACACGCCUAUUGAAACCCUUCAUGGAGGCGUAUAUCGGUGCCCAAUCCUUUUAUAACGAGGCGUAUAUAAGUGCUAAACUGUAAUGUUAAGAAAUACUUUUUAAUUAGUUUUCUAAAUAUAAUUUAUUCCUUUAUUUCUUUUUGUGUUAAUACUAGAACUAGAAUAGAUCAAUUGAUGUUCAUAACAAAUUCCAACACCUCACUCAUAAUGAAAUUGAUCAUAAUUUAAAGUACUAAAUCAUGCUAAAUAAGUUAAGUAAGUAUUAGUUACAUGCCUAAAUAUUAAAAGAAAAUAAAAUUAGAUCAUGUAUUUUAAUUGUUUAAAUCUAUGUAAAACUAAAAAAUAAAUAUUCAAUAUUAUUGUCAUUCUUAGUGUUGAAUUGAUUCGUUUUUUGCAUUAUUAUUAAUUUGAUUUUUAUUUAAACUUUAUUAUAAUUACCAACAUGUAUGGUCUAUAAUCUUUAUUUGAUAAUUAAGAAUUCUAACUUCCAAACAUAAAAUAAAUAUAGUAAAAGAUAAAAACUGUGAAAAAAGUAUAAGAGAUAUUUAUUAAUUAUAUCAAAGUAAGUAUUUUUACGUAUAAAAUAAAAACUUUAAUUUAUAUGUAUAAUGUCGGGUUGGUUUGGUCUCGGGUUGAUUUAUUAUAGUUGAAACCAACCCAACCCAAAUAUAGUCGGGGUUUUUUUUUCCAACACAAAAUUGAGUCAAACCAAACCACUAGUCAGGUUUUUUUUCGAUUUGACUAGGUCUGCGGGUUUAGUUCAAUUUUCGAUUUGAUUUUAUACACUCGAUUUUGAUUUUUGUGAUCUGUAGUAAGAGAUAUAGAGCAAGUCUUUUUUCCAUUAAACUUAUUUAUUUUAUUUUAUUUUUGUAGGAAAGAAGGGGGACCUUGUAUAAUUUUUUUGAUUUAGAUUUGAUGUAUCUUUGUUAAAAAAGUGGGUUACAUACACUCCUAUUAUCAUAUAAACGUGAAUUACUUUAUAAUGAGCGAUAUAUAAAUUUUAAUAAAUUAUAAAAUUGAGGAGGAGUAUAUCAAGACUUUUUACGGACUUGCGUAUUUAGAUAUUUUAGAGAUUCUGUUAAUUAAAGUAGAAGAGUAGGUGAAUAUUGGUAUGUUGAAAACAUGUGCUAUUUAUACUCAUGAAUAGAAUAAUUAAGUAGUAUAUAAUUGUUUAGUUAAACGUGUUGGGAGCCGUGCAUGCAUAUAUAUAUAUAUAUAUGCAUUUCAUGACAUAUAUAAUAAUAUAAUAAUAAUAUUAUCCAAUCUCACCAUUUAUUUAAUAUAAUAUUACAUGAUAAUUAAGAGGGCACUUCAUUUAUUUAGGUGUGUGUGAGUGAGUGAUGAUGGAGUAGUCCUAGGUAAUAGUGACGGUUGCUAGAGAUGUAAGUAUCCCAAAAAUUGCUGCCAAAGUUUGACCAACCACAUUCUCAAGUAAGUUUCCAAUAAGGAUAACGGGAGCUACAAGGGUUCCUGUGGUUGGAGUCAAAGUGCAAUUAGCAAUUGGGAGAGGAAUCCUUGCAAUACAUGUUCCUGACAAAAGACUUGUAUUGGUGGACACUGCAGCAUUAAUAAUGCCUUGACUAUUUGUGGACACUUGAGCAAUCGUUGUGUUGCCACAAAUAAUCGUUACAUUUGCUCCACUCACUCCGACGCCUGGGGCAUUACUUCCCGGUACGGAGCAAGACAAACUCCCCAAUAUACUUAAAUUAACAACACGAUCAACAACAGGUGGUACAAUCGGUGGUACUUGACCACCAACAGGUGGUACAAUCGGUGGUACUUGACCAACAACAGGUGGUACAAUCGGUUGGCCAAGAAUAGGACUAAGAAUGGGACCAACAAUUGGACCGAGAAUAGAACCAACAAUCGGUAAUUGGCCAAGACCAACAGGUGGUACUUGACCAACGGGUGGUACAAUACGUGGUGCAGGUUGCCCCAAAAUGGGACCCACAAAGGGAAUGGGACCCAAAAUGGGACGAACAAUGAGACCCAAACCUUGAGCAUGGGCUAGAGGACUGAUGGUGAUGAUGGAAAGUAGAACAACAAGGGAAAC